GAACGGGAAUCAGCGAAACCACAAAGAGAAGCGAAACCCCAUCUCCGGAGUCACGCCGUCGCUUUCUCAUCUGUUCACUCUUUUUUCCUCCCUCUACAUUUGCGCCUCUGCAGCAGCGGAACCACCAUACAAUAGACAGAGGGGAUUCAAGCGAGGGUUCGUUCCUCACCUAGACAAAACUCAUACUCCCUGAACAUCAAUAUAAAUAUAGAAAAUGCUAGAAUGAUUUAUAUUGUGAAACGGAGGAAGUAGUAUCUACGCGAAAUACAAAAUUACCCUUCCACCACUCUCAACAUUGCUGGUACCACAUCACAGGCAAACACGUUCAGCGAAUAAAAAAAAGGCGCACACGGGCGCUGCUGUCGGCCUCCCCCUCCGACCGAUGGCUCUCCUCCGUCUGCCGCCGCCCCCACACAGGCGUCGUCCUCGUCGCAUCGGUGCCAUCGUCUUCGCCGCAGUUGUCGUCGUCGUCGUCGUCGUCGCUUCGUCGCCGCAGUUGUCGUCAUCGUCGUCGUCGUCGCGCGUCUCCUCCCCCUACCCACAGGCAGCGCCGUCGUCGUCGUUGUCGCGCAUCACCGCGAGAGGGAGGAGCCGAGCCGAGAGUCGCCGUUGCCGAGAGAGGGCGGGCGAGCUGGUGGUGGAGGUGGAGCGGAGGCGGCAGGAGGGGAGCCAACUCGGCUAGGCGGCCGGCGGCUGAGGCGGUGAGGAGCUGAGCCGGCGGUGGGAUUUGCUGGUGGUGGUGAACAAAUGAGAGGGAGAGAGAGAGGACUGGGAGGAAAAUGAGUGGGGGGAGUGGAUAAGGAUGAAAUUUAGAUUUUUUUUUUGGUGGUAUGAUUUUUGCUGGCGGACCACAUAAGGUUCCGCUUGCAAAAAUCAUAUUUUUCUAGGUCCGCCACCGAAAGUAAAGGUAUUAAUUUACUCUAUGAGCUGACUGUGCUACAGAAGGAUAAAAUCGAAGAUGAGCAGGCCAAAGAGGUUGGAGUGAUUGACGCCGAUUGGAGGGAACCGUUUAUCAAGUUUUUAACUCAGCAAAAAUUGCCUCAAGACAAGAAUCAAGCUGAGCGUAUUUCAUGGCGCAGCAAGCUUUAUGUUAUGGUCAAAGCUGAGUUUUACAAGAAAAGCCCAUCCGGGGUACUACAGUGUUGUGUUUCUCUUGACGAGGGCAGACAAUUGUUGCAAGAUAUUCACUCGGGCAUUUGUGGAAAUCAUGCCACUGCGCGCACACUAGUCGGCAAGGCAUACCGACAAGGUUUCUUUUGGCCUACCGCGGUGACUGAUGCUGAGAAGAUCGUACUGUCGUGUGUAGGUUGUCAGUCUUUUUUUUGCUAGACAGACUCAUCUGCCUGCCCAGGAAUUGCGUACACCUUCUUGUGUUCCCAAUGCCUCCCUUUCUCAGUUUUUCUCAUCGACUAUAUGAUAGCCAUUUGCAGAUUAAUUUACUACUCCAAUCAGCUCGAAAGACGCUGCGUACCGAUAUAAUUCGUAUGUAGAAAUACUACAGAGAACAUUCUGUAUUUCUGUUGUAUUUAUAUACGUCUGUGUGCAAUAAUAUGUAUGCAUUGUGUAGAAUCACACAUGAAUGUUUCUAGGAUAAUUUUAUCACCCUUUUGAGAAUGUACCUAAAUGUACCAUAUUUUCUAUUGUAAAAUUUGUUACCUUUAGACAUAAAAUAUCUCAAGUAAACAUUUAGGCAAAAUUGAUUAUAUAGCAUCAAAAGUUUAUGUUUUUGGUUUUAUAGCACCGAAAGAUACUGGUUCAUUUUAAUAGCACCCAAAGUUCACCCCAUUCUCAUUUUUAACACUUCCAUCAAUUCUCAAUUGUUUUUCGUCUGCCUUGAUUGCUAUUGACCCAGUCACGCACACGAUAUGAUGCUUCUACCCCUCACAAGUACAAAUAGAAUGCAUGACAAUGAGGGGUAGAAACGUCAUAUCCUGUGUGUGGCUUGGUCAAUAGCGGUUAAGAUGGACGAAAAAUAACCGAGAAUUGAUGGAAGUGUUUAAAAAGGGAACGGGGUGAACUUUGGGUGGUAUUAAAGUGAACCGGUAUAUUUCAGUGCUACACAUAAAACCAAAAACAUGAACUUUCGAUGCUAUAUAACCAAUUUUGCCAAAUAUUUAGUAUAAAAUUUAGGUAUCUCCACAUAUUUUCUUAAGUACUGUAAAAUCCCUCUCGCUAGCUCAGGGAUUUACCAAUGUAUCUUUUUUACAGGUGGCUGGAGUGACAUAUAUAGUGAAUCACUGUUGACUGCAUGAUCAGCUUGCAUCUAACCACCUCAGCUCGAGUAUAAAUAUUAGGCGUCCCUAUGGGCCAAGCAUGCACGAACAUUGUCCUAACGUGUAUGGAAGAUAUAGAAACCCUACAAAUAUUAGCUAUCGAUCCCUGUGGAGUAUGUUCUACCAUGUGGUGAGAUUUAUUUGGGAAUAGGAGGUAUCUGGGAAUAGGUGCCUAAAAACAAUAUAUCUGCACGAUGAGAAGCCAAUCACAUUAUACAGUGCCAGUCACCAAUAUAUCUACAAGUUCCGAGAAUGUUACGCACAUAUGUAUGUGCAAAGUUGCAAAAUACACAUGUGCCUCCGGAUAAAAGAAACAAAAUUUACUCGUUUAAAGCAAAAUGAUAUAGCUACAUGAAAUGCUUAAGCUCGCUAUGGGAUAAAUUAAGGGCUCUGCAGACGGCAUUUGCUAUAGUAUAUAGAAGUAAAAAAAAAAUGGUGCAAUUCUUGAAUUGUUUUGAAACUUUGUACAACCAGAAAGACAAAAAAAAUGCAAAGAAAAAAAGGUUUAAUUAGUACCCAACGAUGCAUCACGACAAAGAUUUUCAGUAGAAAACUCUGCAACUUAAUUCUAUUUGAUCAGCUUGCCAGCAUACUCACAGUUAUACUGCCAUGAAUAUGCUACUCUAUAUUUUCAAAUAUAGGCUUAAAAAAUUCUACCAUUUUUAAGAUAAUGGAACCACUCUAGGCCUCGCAAGUCGAAAUGCGCAUAAAUUUUGCAUGAUUUAUGGUACAUCUAUCAGUCCACACCACUCACUGCGUAUAGAAAGGUUUGUCACACACCUUUUUCUGCAAUGAUUUAAUCAGAAAAAAUAUAAUUAAAAACAAACAAGUCGAAGAAACCAGCUCCCAACCAUAUAGUCAAGAACUGGUCCUCGUCUCGCAGAGUUCCUGGUGUGUUAGCUUUUAAUCCGGUGCCAUCCAAUAUGGCAAUAUUUUCUGCUGCAGUACUUGCUGCUACAUUGCGACUGAAACACAAGUGCUUCAGAUAUCUUAAGACAACAUAUUUUUCAGCUAGAAGGCAAUAACAGAGAGGCUCAAAACGCACCGGACAAAGGGUGUGGUACAGCCAACCUUCAACUUAUAAACAACUUCUAAUUACAAAACCAGGAGAGAGGGGAACACACCACUCAACCCACCCCCCCCCCCCACAACGUGGUGCGUAAGCCUGCGGCCUUCCAAGCUUCCCAUUCGUCCUCGAUAUAUGGUCGCACACAAAGAAACUGGUGAGGAGGCACGACCCACGAAAACUCGAGCGUCACAUUCCUUUCAGAUCGAUCAACCAGGGUAGCAGGAUGAUGCCCGCAUCGAAGAUUCGUUGUUGUGUCAUUCUUGGCGAUCACUUUCUAAGAUUCACACCACCAGAAGGACAGACUCACUAUUGGUCUCGAGCAAAGGAGGCCAAUGCGACCUCAUGCCAACUCCCAAACCUCUUUGAAUGUAGACGCAAAAUUGGAAGAUAUGUGCAAAUGCUAUGUCUUAGUGCCUUACAUAUGUACAUGGGUUGGGGGAGAUUGACAGACCCGUCAAUCCGAAAUGAACAAAAGCCUACUCCACCAAUGGAAAGAACUCCGAGAUGGUGGGGGUUGCUAGCACCCAUUCACAUCAUAUAUAGUGGUCGAACAUCCUCUUUGAUCUGGACAAUAUUCAUGUUGAAGUUGGCGAGGUUCUUGUCUUAAUAGCUCCCAUUCUAACUACCAGUAUGACAAGUAAUUUGAGUGGCCUCUUUAGAGUGUUCGAUGGCGGCAGUGCAUCACGACAUUGACGUCAUUGAACACCUGAAGAGGCUACUCAAAUUACAUCAGCGUUAGCCUCUUCAGAGUCAUCAUGACGCCAGCGCUGUCUUUGAUCACUAGUCCUCAAGACAACAGGUCGCCUCGCAGCGCAGUACUACUACUAUUUCAUUCUGUUGUUAUCUUAUCCCACGUUGUUCAGUACAACAGCUUAAUCUUGGGUUCCCAGGGCCUCCUACUCUCAUAGGAGAACAUAUUUGUCCUAACUAGGCACACGACAUACACUUCUCUGAAUUUCUCUAACAGAUAUCAGACCAUAGUUGAAAAUUUGGUAUUUCAUUGAUCUCUGAUGAAUCCCUCUGCUCUGAACUAGCAGUCUAAAUACCAUACUCUCGCUAGUUACAGAUGUAAUGCUUUACAGGAACAAAAAAAGUUUAAUUUGAGUAUAUCAUUUAUCGCCACGCAAGUAGGACAACUGCUCUACAACUGAAGGAGGUCGAUAUCGGUGUGUGUGCGUCUCUCUCUAUAUAUAGAUAUGUAUGUACGUUUGUAUGUGUCAGUAUAUAGGUUUAUAAAUCACGCAUGAAUGAUACUCCCUCCAUAUUUUAAUGUAUGACGUCGUUGACUUUUUAAGAUACGUUUCACCAUUUGCCUUAUUCAAAAAAAUUAUGUAAUUAUCAUUUAUUUUAUUGACUUGAUUUAUCAUCAAAUGUUCUUUAAAUAUUACAUAAAUAUUUUUAUAUUUGCAAAAAAUAAAAUUGGAUAAGACAAAUGGUCGAACAUUGGUGUCAAAAAGUUGGAGGGAGUAUUCACCAACUACAUGCAUGUGCAUGCCCUUUUUUAUUGUUCAUAGUUCACUGUUCCUAGAUGGUGGCCAUCAGAAUAAUCAGUGAAAAUAAAUUAAUACAACAAGGUCCUCUCUGAAUCCUGGUUGUUUUAAUUCAGAAUAAAAAUUGUCAUGUACAUGGAUGAAUGCACGAUCAAUAUUCCACAUUUCAAUGCUCCAUCUGUUUUCUCCCAUAUGCGUGCCUCCAAGCAUUUAAACAUGAAAUGGGGGAAGGAAAUGGGUGAUAUAAAAUCUCAAACAGCCACCAUAUAUACCGCACAAUUACGUAAUACCGUUUUUAAAUCGUUUACGGAGAAACAAAAGGUAAUCCGACCAUCCUCACCAUUGGCAGUUAACUUUACUACAUUAAAAAUGCAAUGACGCAAGUAUGCCAUGAACUCCAAUAGCUACCAAAUAAGCAUAGUGACAAACACCUCCUUCUUGUUGUUGAUGGUAAACAAGCAUAUUGGUUCGAAAACAAGAAUUUUGAAAGAAAGAAAGGAAAGACAAAAAAACAAGCAUACUCUAUGUAAACCUCAUCUUGGCAGCACCUACAAGCAACACACAUGGAGGGGAUUCUCUAAAAUCAAAGUGCAUUUGAUUAAUAUUUUUUGAUGAACAAUUGGAUUGAUAGAUAAUUGGUUUUGAUAUUUGAAAAUUAUUGGCAAGUGGUGCUCUCUGUAUGGAGUGGUAGCGGCCACUGGUAAGACAGGAGUGUAAGCGUGCGGUCAAACUGGCCAGCCCGACGGUUUGACCGGCUGCCUUCUGAUUGUAGUCGGUUUCAGGUUGUUUAUUUGGAUACUCGUGAUUAAUAUAUGUUUAUGACUUUUAGAUGAUUUCUAUACGUAUGUAAUACUGUUAUGCGCUAAUCAAGUUGGGAAAUAACUUGUGCUCAGAUAUGGUUUCUUGUUUGAUUCAUGUGUAGGUGUGUCUUGAUACCUCAAGAGAGUGUGGCCAGCGAUGUAUCCGGAGUCAACUUGGGAGAAUAUGAUAGUCUAGACAAUUAGGAUAUCAUCAUUACAACACAAGGCUUAUCCACCUACUCCCAUCUCUCCACACCACACGCCACCUUUAUCCAUCUCCUCAUGCCCUCUCCUCGCGAACACCCUCUUCUCAUCCAACUUUUGAAGCUCGCAGCAGAGCUCUAGCGCGAAGUGCGGGCGACAGAGUUCCUCCCACAUUUGGUGUCAACGGAGUCAAGCCAUGGGCGGCGGAGCUCGAUGACUAGUGGUGCACGCAGUGGAUCCAGCAGCAGAGCUCUGGGUGUGGUUGGCUGAUCCACCGGCACAUGCGGGAGAUUUAGCGGUGGCUCGGGUGCAGACGACGGAUCCGAUGGUGACAAGAUGUAAGGGAGGCAGAUCUUAUGGAGGAGUGACUCGCGAGCGGCGGACCUGAUGUCGGCGAUAUGCGCGGGAGGUGGAUCUAGUGGUUGCUCGGGCACGUGAACGAGGUGGGCGAGCAGCGGAGCUCGGUCACAAGAGGCAGGCGGUGAAUCUAGCGACGGCUCAGAGUGUUGAGUUGUGAUCCAAAUUCAUUUGCACAUAAUAAAGACCAGCUUACGGAUCGUUAUACUUUAGGGUUUCACUUUCAUAUAUACCUCUUGUAAGCCACCAUUCGGUGUUGUAACCUCACCCCGAUAUAGUGAAGAUAUUUUGCUGGCUGGCGCCCGUGGUUUUUUCUCUCCUGCUUUAGGAGGGUUUUCCACGUUAAAUCUCAUGUCUUCUGUAAUUGAUCUAUUGUUAUUUAUCGUUUAUUUGCCUAUCGUAUACUAAAAUGGAGCACAAGUGGGAUCCAGUGGAAGGCAAGUCAUCUGUGACUACUACAAGACUGAAACUCUAGGACCCUAAUUGGCUACAAAUAAGAGGCAUAUUCCUAGCUAUAUAUGGUGUGGCUAAGCAUGAAAAAACUCUGCCUAGAAAGCUAUGUUAGCUUCUAGGAGCCUAGGUUAAUGUUCAAGUGAAGAGAAAUUGUGUGGGAGGAGGAGGCAUCUGGGAUUAAUCAAUGCCUUCAGUGGGUAUAUGAUCGAGAGUCAAGCUAUGUAAUGAAGUGGAAUGACCGAUAUAUGUGCAAAAUGACUGUGAUAGAUGCAUAUUUCUAGGCAAAGUUGCACCCUACAUUGCUGCACAUAGUUCGGUGGAAAAUAAGCUUGGUAGUGAAUAGAAGAAUCGAAGUACACGCUAUGGUUCUGCCUCGCAUGGCGUCUUUAGAUAUUGAUCUUCAGAAAAUGGAUUGCCUCGUAUAAGAUUUCACACCAAUCACUGGCGGAGAAACCCUUUGUAGUCCCGGUUCGUAACCCCCCUUUAGUCCCGGUUUCCAAACCGGGAGUACCAAUCCGGGACUAAAGAUCGCUAUCUUUAGUCCCGGGUGAAAUAACCGGGAAUAAAGUUCGAUCUUUAGUCCCGGUUGGUGUUACCAACCGGGACUAAAGAUCGAGCUGACCUUUUUUUUUUUUUUUUGCAUGGCCCUGUUGCUGCAUGGUUUAUAUAUAUAUAUAUAUAUAUAAACCAUGCAUAUAUAUGUUUCAAUACAUAUAUAUGCAUACAUAUAUAUAUAUGUAUAUAUAUAUAUAUAUUAUAUUAUAUUAUAUGUAUAUACAUGCAUAAUAUAUAUGUAUUUAUACAUAUAUAUGUUAUGCAAAUGCAUAUGUAUAUAGAUAUAUAUAUGACCAAAAUAUAUUUACAUUAUAGAAAAUGUGUACACAUGCAUAUAGAAACAUAUGUAGUCAUGUAUUAAUUACAAUCCAUUAUAUGUCCUAGCUAGCUACGAUUUCGACGUAGUAGUACUCGCUGCUAGCUCAGAAGCUAAGGACCGGUGAAUUGUGUUUCCGUCGUAGUAGAAUUCACCCUUGGGAUCAAGGAUUUCUUCGUUGAUGAAUCCCAUGAGUUGUUCUUGAACCGCCGUGAUAAAUUCCUUGUGUGUGGUCAGGUUAUCCCUCAUGCGAAUAAACUAUAUGAAUGUAUGAAAUUGAUUAGUAAUUAAACAAGAAAUCGCUACGUAAUGAAAUUUUGAAUUUAUUUGUACGUACAUCGAGCUCUCUUGUGGUGAUGAUUUGGUUUGCAAGGCAGUGGUAAUACUCGCACACGUAAUAGCCGCACAAGUUAGUUCCCUGCUUUUGCUUUGCGCGCUACAAAUAAAUGACAAACAACGAGAGAUCUAAUUAAUAUACACUUGUAUGUAUUUGAAUCGGAGAAAUAUAAAUGUAGAGCAUGUGUACUCACAGGAAAUUUGAACUUCCGCCUAAGUCUUUCUCUCCAUUUGCCGCGGACCAAAUGACGGAACCGAUACCAAGCCCUACAUGGAGUUUAAAGCUAUGAUUCGUAGUAGCAAUUAACAUAACAAGAUUUUCUUAAUUAACAAAGGAACUUAUGACGGUACCUGUCUAUAAGUUCGAAAACCUUGUCAAAUGUAGACUCUUUUUUAUCCAUUGAGUCAUAUACGUUGACGGUGCAGGCCUCCAGGUCGAAGAGUAAAAGCACCCAGUGGAAUCUGCAAUGUGCAUGGGAUGCAUUACAUAUGAAACACUUAGCAAGUUCGUACGGGAAUGAAAUUUGGUAUGUAGGAAGACAGUAAAAUUAAACUAACUCUGUGUUGUAUGGCAACAGUAUGAACGUCUUGUAAUGCUGCGCCUUUAGGAGAUGGACGAGAUUGUCCUCUGUUUCUUGUGGAUAUUGGUCGAGCAUUGCGACGUUUACUUUCCGAGGGUCGAUGAAUCCAGUAUCGAAAACCCUCCGCCGUUGGGCCCUUUGAAUCUCCAUUCUACAACGAUAAAAGGGAGUAUAUUAUUUUCUAUAGUCUACUUAUAUACAAGGACCUAAUUAAUUAAAGGAGACGUAUAGUAAGAAAUCUAACUGAACGAUAUACUUACAAAAUCCAGCAACUCAUAAUAGAGACGUCGAGGGCGUCCAGCUGGUAUAGUUCGUAGAUUCCCCUGAAAUUGAUCCAGAGAAUGUCAUCUCCUUGCAAGAAGUCCGUGUCCCUGAUCCUCGCUCCGAUCAUCUCUCUACCGGUGGCGCUCAUCUCCAUGUACAGCUGAUGGAACUUGUACAUUUGUGUGGGUAGGGACUGCAGCAGCUCAGGCUUGACAAGCGGUUUACCGAGUUCGUACAUGUAUUUCACUUCCGCCUUUUCGAUUGGUGCGACUCCUAGCAAUUGAUCCGUAGUUAGACCGGUGUCAGUAAUAAAUUGUUCUAUCGUCAUUUCUUUACCGGUCACCAACGGCUCGAUCUCCUGGUUUGGUUGCUCUCCAAGCUGAGGGACUGGUUUGGACUUUCCAGAAGAUGCUUUCUUCAGCGUUCGCUCAUAGUCCGAUAGCUUGAUGGCCUCCUUGACAGAUGCAGACAUACCCCUGAAGAAGUUCCUGACACUGGGGUCUAUAGGAAUCUUCUUUUCUGGACUUCGAGGCUUGAAUUGUCUCUUGACUUCUGAUGCAACGUAAGCGUCAAGCUCCUCUUGCGUGCAAUCGUACCCCGGGUCCUUGUUCUUGGCGGCGUCAACUUUCGCCUUCUUCGUUGCCCUUGUGUGGGCAGGCGGUGGAGCUGGGGGGGCCCUUGACUUUGAAGGUGCCGGAAGAGGAGCUUGCGGGGGAGUAGGUGUAGGAGCACGAGGAGGAGUCGGUGCAGGAUCUUGAGGAGGAGUCGAUGCUGGAGCCUGAGGUGGAGACGGUGCUGGCGGAGCAUGAGGAGGAGACGGUGCAGGAUCCUGAGGAGGAGAUGGCGGAGCCGGAGGAGAUGGUGCACGAGACGCCGCUUGUCGCCCAGGGAGGAUGAUGUACUGCCUGCGCCAUAGAAUAAUGGCAUGGCUUGUGUCUCGUAGAUGCGUCUCACCGUCUCCUCCAGGGUAAUCCAGCUCGAGGUCCUCGUACGCGCCUUCGACCAACUCAACUUCGACCUUCGAGUAUCCUGCUGGAAUCGGCCUGCAGUGGUAAGUACCUGAAGGGUCCGUUGGGAUGGCCAUGCCCGACGCCACCUUCAUGUUGCGAGAGAUUAUUUAUUAGUAAUCAACAUAUAUAAGCAGCAACUAGCGGAAUGGCUAAAUCUUACCUUUAUUGAUAAGUUCUUGAAAGGAAUAUGCAGCUCACAUGGUGUCCGCUGAGUGAUGUCAUCAACGGGACAGGUCGAUUCGUCCUAUGUUUGCAUGGCGUCCAUGCUCUGUGAUCCUACCUGCCCCGUUGAGGCGCAGCUGCUACGGUUUCCUGACGGGCUCACCAUUGCAGGAGGAAUGGUCGGCUGGGGAUCAUGGGACCGAUGUGCGGCCAUGCGUUCAUCAACCUUCCUUGCCACCUCCUCUUGCAUGUUGAGUUCGUAGCUCGAUACCCGGAACUCUAAGUCUGCAAUCUUCGCCUCGGUAUCUCUCUUGCUCCUCAUCCGACUCCUGUACGUGUGGAUGUCCUCCUUGAAACCAAUCUUCCAAGGAAUCACACCUUUCCCUCGUGUUCGUCCUGGAUGCUCUGGAGUCUGCAGGGUGAGUGUCAGCUCGUCCCUAUCUCUGUCUGGUCGGAACGUGCCCUGAGAGGAGGCUUCCGCUGCAUCUGUUAGUCGUCGCGCAGCCUCUCGUAUCUGAUCGCCGAAGACCAGUGAGCCAUCAGCUGGGUUGAGCGUUCCACCGUGAGCAUAGUACCAGAACUUCAAUCGUUCCGGCCAAUUGGAUGUUGCCGGUUCGAUACCCCUCUCAAUCAAGGUAGCCUCCAUCUGCUCCCACUUCGGCAUCGCGACGCUAUAGCCUCCUGACCCCAAGUGGUGAUGGUACUUCUUCUUGGCGGCAUUUUCUUUGUUUCUUUCCAUCAUCGCCUGCCCUUGUUCACCUGUCUUAUAUGCAACGAACUCGUCCCAGUGAUCCCUUAGCUUUGGGAAUGUGUCGAAGUUCGGUGUCUGCCCCUUCAGUAUAUACUUCUGGUACAGAUCUCCCUUGAAGCUCUGAAACUGUUCUGCCAUUUUCUUCAGAGUCUACCUUUUCACUUUGUCCUCUGUACCCGCAGGAAGGGUGAAUGUCUCGAGCAUUGUGGUCCACAGCAUCUCUUUCUCCGAAUCUGGGACAAAGCUCUCAUGAUCUCCGCGUGCCCUUGUUCUUCGCCAGUACACCGUACUGACAGGCACGUUAUCCCGCACAACCCAACCGCUGUGACGUACAUAGUUCUUGGCGGCUUCGACCGGGGCACUAGGACGUCCAUCUUCUUGCACUUCCGUUAUGAUGUGCCGACCCUCAAGCUUCUUCGCUGCACCUCGUUGCCCGCGUGCCCUCUUCUGUCCAACGGAGGGUUGACUACCACUAGCCUCCUCCUCCUGGUUCCCCUCCACAUCCCUUUCCACGUGCCCCUGCUGGUUCCCCUCCGCAUCCCUCUCCACGUUCCCUUCCUCGUUCAAGUACUGGUUUGGAUCCUCGUUCCCCUCUUCUUCAUUCCAGUACUGGCUGCUUCCCUCCGCGAUUGUUUCGUACAAUAUCUGUUCCUCAUCGCGGUCAGCCAUCUGUUGAUACAAGAAACAUCUGCUAAGUCACGAGACAUUUAUGUUUUAACAAUCUAAGUCAUGUAUGCUAAGUGUAAAUGUCGUACAUUAGAACCCUACACAACCUUACGUGCUAAGUCUAAUUACAAAUCGUGAUAUAAGCUAAGUCUAGGUGACGUAUAUUAUACAACCCUAGCUAGUAAAUAAUUAUAUACUAAGUCUAAUUACAAAUAAAAUAAUCUUAUAUUAAAACUCAAAUAAUAUUACAUGCUAAGACUAAAAUAGUCAUGUAUAUGCUAAGUGUUUCGUGCGUAUAUGCUAAGUCUAAUUAAGACUACAAUAGUCAAUUGCUACUUGUCGCACCAAUUCCGUAGUCAAUAAUUACAUACUAAGUCUAAUUACAAAUAAAGUAAUCUUAUAUUAAAACUCAAAUAAUAUUACAUGCUAAGACUAAAAUAGUCAUGUAUAUGCUAAGUGUUUCGUGCGUAUAUGCUAAGUCUAAUUAAGACUACAAUAGUCAAUUGCUACUUGUCGCACCAAUUCCGUAGUCAAUAAUUACAUACUAAGUCUAAUUACAAAUAAAGUAAUCUUAUAUUAAAACUCAAAUAAUAUUAGAACACUAUACAAUCUUAUAUGAUAAGUCCAAUUACAGGUCUAAUAAUCUUAAUUAAUUGCAUUACAAAUAUAACAAUCAUUUAUAUUAUUACGUCACUUGCCUGCUCCAAUUCCUUCUAGGGCUAGCUCUUCCACUCAGGCUUGACGGACGACUCCGACAACACGUCUUUUCUGCAAGAUACAAAAAGAUGUAUUAGGAUAAAUGCGAAGUAACAUAUAUAUAUAUAUAUAUAUAUAUAUAUAUUGCAUUUCACGUUAACGUUCGUCCUCGUUCGUUCGCUCGUUCUCAUUCACGUUCGUUCGCUUGUUCUCAUUCACGUUCGUUCCCUCGUUCUCGCUUGUCUUCGAUCGAUCGUUCUCGUUCUCGCUCUCGUUCGUUCGAUCGUUCUCGUUCUCGUUCACGUUCUCGCGGCAACGUACGUUGACGUGUUCGUUCUCGCUCUCGUUCGUUCGAUCGUUCUCGUUCUCGUUCGUUAACGGCGGUGUGGCGGCAUCGGGGCGGCGGUUGGCGCGGCGGCGUGGCGGCGGCGGCGGCGGCGUGGCGACGGCGGCGGCGGCGUGGCGUUGCGGGGCCGUGGCGGCGGCGGCGUGGCGUGGCGGCGGCGGCAUUGCGCGCGCGGCGGCGAAGGCGGCGGCGGUGUGGCGACGGCGGCGGCGGCGUGGCGUUGGCAGGCGGCGGCGGCGAAGGCGGCGGCGUGGCGCGUCGUCGUCGUGGCGCGUCGUCGUCGUGGCGCGGCGUCUCGUGGCGGGCGGCGCGACGGAGAGAGAUCGAUAUCGGAGACAUCGAGAUGCAUGAAGGGAGAUCUGGCGGCGGCGGCUCUCACCCCAGAGAUGCGGCGGCAGCGGAGGAGGCGGCGAGGACGACGAGCUCGAGACGACGGCGAGAUACGGCGGUGUCGGCGCGGGGAUUUGCCCUAGGCAGUGGCGGCGAAGGAGAGAGGCCGAGAGAGAUCGAUCGGCCGAAAACGUCUAAGUGUUGGUGAAGAAGACGAGGGCGCACCGGGAAUAUAUAUAACCCCGGAUCUUUACUCCCGGUUGUUGAGAACAACCGGGACUAAAGAUAUCUUUAGUCCCGGUUGUUGAGAACAACCGGGAGUAAAGAAAAGAUAUUUACUCCCGGUUGUUCAUCUUUAGUCCCGGUUGGUAUUACCAACCGGGAGUAAAUAUCUUUUCCCGCUAUUUCGAAAUUCUUUUUAAACCCGGUUAGGGUUAAGAACCGGGACUAAAGAUUACAGCACUGCAUAUGAUUUUCGCUUACAUAUGUGUUUAUUUAAAGUACAAAGAUUAAUGACAAUUACUUCGAAAAAUUAUUUUUGUCUGUAAUAAAUUAAGUGGAUAAAUCGUAAUAAGCAAAUAUAUGACUUGUAAUUAAUAAAAAUUCCAAUAUAUAUAUAUAUAUAUACUUAGCAUAUAUAUGAAUGAUAUUAUUAUAUUGGUAAAAACUCUAAUUAAGAUAUGUAUGUACAUACUGCAUGAUUUAAAAUUAAUAAAAAUUGUAAUCAUCAUAUGUACUUAGCGUAGGAAUUAUAUUAAAUUAAAUGCUAAAAACUCUAAUUAACAUAUGUAAAUGCCACAUGCAUGAUUUAAACCUUUUAAAAAUUCGAAUAGUCAUAUAUAAGUAGCAUAUGAAAGAUAGUAAAUUAAAUUGUGAAAAACUCUAAUAUAUGAAUGAUAGUUUUAAAAAUAUAUUAAAUUUAAUACUUUUAAAAAUUCUCCAGUCAAUUAUAAUUAGCAUAUGAAUGAUAGUAAAUUAAAUGUUAAAAACUCUAAUUAACAUAUGAAAUUGCCACUUGCGUGAUUUAAAACUUUUAAAAAUCCUCUAGUCAAUUAUAAUUAGCAUAUGAAUGCUAGUAAAUUAAAUGUUAAAAACUCUAAUUAACAUACAUAUGAAAUUGCCACCUGUGUGAUUUAAAACUUUUAAAAAUUGUAAGUAUCACAUAUAACUAGCAUAUACAUGAUUUAAACUUGUUGAAACCUCUAAUAAUCGUGCGUAAUUAACAUAUGCCAUACAUCAAUUGAUUUAUAUGGAUAAUCAAUACAUCCAAAAUAGUUUACAUCGUGUACACAAUAAUUACGGCAUUACAUCGGCGGUGACGGUUGACCGCACGUACUUUCUCCUCACUAUUGUUCCCUCCUUGUGAUCGCUGCGUGAGUAAGGGGUGUCUUCAUUUGAUAGGAGGAUGCUAGGGUCAAUCGUCACCGUGAAAGGGGGUUGCCCAUCCAACUGAUCGUAAUCCUCGUCAGUCUUGUCCUCAACUCCGACGAUUUUUCUUUUGCCUGGGAGAACCACUUGACGCUUAGGCUCAUCAGGCCCUCUGCCCUUCUUUCCUUUGCUAGACAUGUCCUUCACGAAAAAGACUUGCGUUACAUCAUUGGCAAGGACAAAAGGUUCGUCCGAGUAUCCAACCUUGUUAAGGUCAACAGUUGUCAUCCCACUGUCAUCAAUCAUUACGCCUCCACCAGUCAACCUAACCCAUUGGCACCGGAACAGAGGAACCUUGAGAGGACCAUAGUCAAGUUCCCAUAUGUCCUCGAUGGCACCGUAAUACGUGGCAGUUGUUCCAUCGUGUCCCAUGGCAUCGACACGAACAGCGCUGUUUUGGUUCGUGCUCUUCAUGUCUUGGGCUCUCGCGUAGAAUGUGUACCCAUUGAUCUCAUAUCCCUGGAAUGUCGUGAUCGACCCAGACGGUCCCCUCGCCAGGAAGGCAAGUUGUUGGUUGAUCGACUCGUUACCCAUGAGAUGUUGUCGUAGCCAUGCGGGGAAAGUAUCAAUGUGAUGCCGUGUAAUCCAUGCAUCGGACUUACCGAUGUUCCUGGCGCGAACUAGAGCCAAGUGCUCCUCGAUGUAAGGAGCUACCAAUGAAGAGUGUUGCAGAACAGUGAAAUGGGCUUUACGGAAUAAAUUGUUGUCUACCGUCAUUAUUGCUUUCCUUCCGAGAGUUCCCUUUCCCCGUAGUCUCCCUUCAUGGCGUGAUUCAGGUACCCCGAUUGGGCGAAGGUCUUCGAUAAAUUCUACACAAAAUUCGAUGACCUCCUCUGUUCCAUAACCCUUGGCGAUGCUUGCCUCUGGACGAGCACGGUUACGAACGUACUUCUUCAGAACGCCCAUGUACCUCUCGAAAGGAAACAUGUUGUGUAGGUACAUAGGCCCGAGAAUACGGAUCUCUUUCACAAGGUGACAAAGCAGAUGCGUCAUUAUAUUGAAAAAUGAAGGUGGAAAUAUCAACUCAAAACUGACGAGACAUUGCACCACUUCAUUCUGAAGGGCUUCUAAUCUUUCCGGAUCGAUGACCUUCUGCGAAAUUGAGUUCAUGAAUGCACAUAGCUUUGUUAUUGUUGCCCGGACAUUGUCUGGAAGGAUACCCCUUAUUACAACUGGUAGCAGUUGUGUCAUCAACACGUGACAGUCAUGAGACUUUAGGUUUGUGAACUUCUUCUCCUUCGUGCUUAUUAUUCGCUUGAUAUUCGUGGAGUAUCCAGACGGUACCUUUAUGCUCUCCAAGCAUUCAAACAUACUUUCCUUCUCUGCCUUGCUAAGAGUGUAGCUGGCUGGACUCAAGUAAUGGCUUCCUUUCUCCUUUGGUUCUGGGUGAAGGUCGCCGCGUUGUUCCAUAUGCUUCAGAUCAUUACGUGCUUCCAGUGUAUCUUUCGACUUUCCGUAUACACCUAGGAAGCCAAGAAGGUUUACGCAAAGGUUCUUAGUGAGGUGCAUCACGUCGAUUGCGUGGCGUACGUCCAAGAAUUCCCAAUAUGGUAACUCCCAAAAUAUAGAGUUCUUUUUCCACAUCGCCGCGUGACCAUCUUCGCUCUCUAUAUGCUGGCUUCCAAGCCCCUUUCCGAACACUACUUUAAGAUCUUUAACCAUAGCAAACACUGUUUUCCCGCUGCGAUGUUUAGGCUUCGUACGGUGGUCGGCCUUAUGUUCGAAGUGCUUGCCUUUCUUCCGUACCGGGUGGUUUGCUGCAAGGAAUCGACGAUGACCCAUGUACACAACCUUCCUACAGUGCUUAAGAUACGUACUUUCUGUUUCAUCCAUACAGUGAGUGCAAGCCUUGUACCCCUUGUUGGACUGUCCGGAUAAGUUGCUAAGUGCAGGCCAAUCGUUGAUGGUUACGAACAGCAGCGCUCGUAGGUUAAACUCCUCCUGUUUGUCCUCGUCCCACACGGGGACACCUUCCUUCUUCCACAACUGUUUAAGAUCUUCGACCAGUGGUCUUAGGUACACGUCGAUGUCGUUACCAGGUUGCUUGGGGCCUUGAAUAAUAAUCGGCAUCAUUAUGUACUUCCUCUUCAUGCAUAGCCAGGGGGGGAGGUUGUAGAUACACAUCGUAACGGGCCAAGUGCUAUGGCCGCUGCUCAUCUCUUCAAAAGGAUUCAUGCCAUCCGUACUCAAACCAAACCGUAUGUUUCGUGCGUCCUUUCCAAAUUCUUUAAAUUUUCUGUCGAUGUUUCGCCACUGCGAACCAUCGGCGGGGUGUCUCAGCAUCCCGUCCUGUUGACGCUCUUCAGCGUGCCAUCGCAACAUUCUAGCAUUCCCCUUGUUCCUGAACAAACGCCUUAGCCGUGGUAUUAUAGGGAAAUACCAUAUCACCUUAGCAGGAAUUCUCUUCUUUGUUAGCUGCCCGUCAACUUCUCCUGGAUCGUCCCGUCUAAUCUUGUAUCGUAGUGCUUUGCAAACAGGGCAUGCUUCUAGGUUCUCAUACUCCUCACCGCGAUAUAGGAUACAAUCGUUCGGACAUGCGUGAAUCUUAUGAACUUCCAGUCUUAACGGGCAGACUAUCUUCUUAGCCUCGUACGUUGUCUCGGGCAAUUUGUUUCCCCCCGGAAGAAUGUUCUUGACGAGUUUCAAUAAAUCGCCAAAUGCCUUGUCACUAACCCCAUUUUUUGCCUUCCAUUGCAACAACUCCAGAGUGGUAUCCAACUUUUUGUGCCCCUGCUCGCAACCUGGGUACAACGAAGUUCUGUGGUCCUCCAACAUCUUGUCCAAUUUAUGGGCCUCCUUUUCACUUUCGCAGUCCUCCCUGGCGUCCUGCAACAUCUGACCAAGAUCAUCCGCAACGUCGUUACCAUCAGCAGCUAUCCUCCUCGCCCGUUUGAUUUCCUUCAAAUCCAACAUACUGAGCAAAGUCCGGAAUAUUGUCGUCUUCCACUUCAUCUUCUUCCAUUUCAACACCUUGCUCUCCGUGGGAUGUCCAACAAUUAUAGCUUGGCAUGAACCCCGACUCAAACAAGUGGAAAUGAAUAGUCCUGGAUGCAGAAUACUCCUUCUGAUUCUUACACUUAUUGCAUGGACAACAAAUAAAACCCCUUUGCCUGUUAGCUUCGGCCACUCUCAAAAAAUAGUGCACGCCGUCAAUAAACUCUUUGGACCGCCGGUCAGCGUACAUCCAUUGCCGAUCUAUCUACAUGAGUCAAAAAAACCGUACACAAAUAAUUAUUCUUACAAUAAUGACAGUCAUACAAUAAUUAUAAGAUAUCUUUAUUCAUACAAAAAUCAUAAAAUAUUACACCAAAUAAUUCUUAAAAACUAUUUGUAAAGUUUUAAACUAAUUUUAAUGUGUCUUACUUCUUUUAAUUUUUAUUUUAGUUUGUUUUCUAUUAUUUAAGAUUAACUUUCACUAGAGUUUUCCUUCUCAACUAUUUUAUAAAACCUUGUUUAGCAAAUGAACUAAAUUUCUAUAUAUUCUUUCUUCCCCACACACAUUUUCUCUCUCAUCAACUUACAACUAAAUUUUGGAGACAAAAAAAGUGUGCAAAACAUAGGUGCAAAUGUAGUAUGACAAAAAAAACAUUGGAGGAUGAAGUUGCAAACCUUUUAGGCACCUCCGAUUUGUAUGUAAUCACCAAAAUAAAUUCAAUAGAAAUUUUGGCAUGACCUCCCCUCUUUUUUGAAGAAAUUUUGAAGCUUGCUCGGGCAGCUGGAGGAGGAAGAAGACAUAUAUAUAGGGGUGGGACUUUAGUUCCGGUUGGUAGCACCAACCGGGGCUAAAGAUCACCGGGAUCUUUAGUCACGGUUGGUAAGUUAAGAUCUUUAGUUCCGGUUGGUGUUACCAACCGGGCUAAAGAUCCCGGGGGGGCCUGACAGGUCCUGAUAGCAUUCGAACCGGGACUAAAGAUGAUCUUUAGUCCCGGUUGGUAACACAAACCGGGACUAAAGAUCAAAUAUGCCCGUUACCCUUUUGAACCGGGACUAAAGAUCAUCUUUAACCCCGGUUUUUAUUGCAUCCGGGACUAUUGUGAAAAUCGGCCGACCGACGAAAGAUGGUUUCUCCACCAGUAAAUAGAAUAAUGUUUAAGAGAGGGAUUUCGUACGUAGACAAUCUGUAUAUGUUAAAAGGGAUAAAUAAUUGAACUGCUUGAAUUGUUUUUGUCCUUUGUUGGAUUUUCCACAAGAACAGGAGAAGGCCAAAAAAAAAAUUGUUCAUGUAACAUAAAGGAAUUAAGGCAUAUACUAAGUAUCACCACUACGAAUCUCCGAAACUUAAUACCAUUUGAUUAGUUUGUCUGAGAACUCCGCCCUGUCCAUGAUGCUCUACCUCCGUAUUGCUAAAUUUUAGCUUUAUAUUUGAAAUAUUUCCUCCGUGUCCAUCCAGCAUUCCAUCGUGAAAUUUUGAAAAAUGGUAUUGUGAAUAGAAUUGAUUGUGCGAGAGAGAUAAUUGAACACAGGAAUGAGCGGAUAUCUUUAUUGAAUAUUGAUCAAUGCGGUACAAUUUAUAGAUGGGGAAGGGGUGGCAACUAGAGACGCGACGGUUGGGCGUUACCAAGGAGCGCCUAGGAAAGAGGCGUGGUUGCUUUCGGUUGCGAUCCAUCCUUUUAUAUGGAUGAGAUCACCAUGUUGUUUCAUUACAAAUGGUACAUCAGUCCAUCUUGCAAAAAAAAAUAUUGUAUUAUUAACGUACAGAAAAAAAAUCAAAUUUCGGGAACCUUGCAAAAUUUAUUCAAAUUUCAAAGUUUUUCGGCCGAAAUUCCCAUAGAACCGAUAGAUAUAACUCUGCAGACUGCAGUCCAAUCACUUUCCAUAUAUUUUUUCUGUCAUUUUUUUAUAUGAUUUGAAUCAGAAAAAUGAUUCUUUUUUUAAAAAAAAAAGCCAAAAGGGGUCGGAGAAUUAAACUCCGAAUUGAACCCCCAAGGCAGAAGCAUCGGCUUCGUCCUCUCCCCCCGGACGCGCUCCUCCCGUCGCCCAAGAUGGCAUCGCGCGCGCGACGCGAGCUCCACGACGAUGUCGCCGUAGCUAUCUAUAGCCACGAGAGCUCCGCGUCCAUGGAGAAAGAGAGAGAGAGAGAGAGAGAGAGAGAGAGAGAGAGAAUCCGCGCGCGCGAAAGGGAAGGCCUGAUCGGAUUCGAGCUGUGCCGGCGAGGAGAGGAGAUAUGGACGCGAAGCAGAGCGUGGCGGCGGCGAAGCCGUCGCUGGCGAAGAAGACGGCGUCGGCGUCGUUCCGGCUGAGGAACGGCAGCCUGAACGCGGUGCGGCUGCGCCGCGUGUUCGACCUGUUCGACCGCAACGGCGACGGCGAGAUCACCGUGGACGAGCUGGCGCAGGCGCUCGACGCGCUGGGCCUCGUCGCCGACCGCGACGGCCUCGCCGCCACCGUCUCCGCCUACGUCCCCGAGGGCGCCGCGGGCCUCCGCUUCGAGGACUUCGACGCGCUCCACCGCGCGCUCGGCGACGCCCUCUUCGGCUCGCUCGACGGCGCCGCCGCCGCCGGCGAGCCCGGCGGCGGCGGCGGCGACGAGGAGGAGGAGAUGCGGGAGGCGUUCAAGGUGUUCGACGUCGACGGCGACGGGUUCAUCUCGGCGUCGGAGCUCCAGGAGGUGCUCAAGAAGCUCGGCCUCCCGGAGGCCGGCAGCCUCGCCACCGUGCGGGAGAUGAUCUGCAACGUCGACCGCAACAGCGACGGCCGCGUCGACUUCGGCGAGUUCAAGUCCAUGAUGCAGGGCAUCACCGUCUGGGGCCCCUGAUCUCCACCAAUCCCUUCAAACAUCUUUUGAAUUCCAUCCAAAUUUCAACCAAACACGCACGCGCGCAGUCCAAAUUGAAUCAAACUGAACAUCACUAGGUUAACUCAAUAUAUUUAUCUCAUGCAAUUACAUCACUGUAUGUACAUGUGACAAAGCAGGGCCUGAGCUUUGUUGCUAUGGCCUGUUUUGUGUUUAAAAAAAUUUUAAAUUCUACUCGAACAGGAUUCUUUUCAAGUGUUUCUACGGUAAUUGAACGGUUGCAUGCAAAUGAUGUAAUGUUAUGUCAAAUUUCGGUGAUUCUAGCAUUUAAUUCCUUUUUUUCAAUAGUGAAAAUGAUUUAUACUAUCCUCUACGAAUGGACACAAAGUAAAAAGUCUUACAAAUAAAAAAGAAGAAGAAAAAGAUGACGGGACAAACCCCCAACUCCUGCUAAUUAAAGAUCAACUGAAAUGACGUUUUUGAUUCUAUCACGUAAUUCGUAGAGUUUUCUUUUCUUUUUGAAAACUCAUUCCAUGGAAUUUCCUUCAACAUAAAUAGUGUUUUUGGGAUAAUCAAGCCCAUUUUACGGCCAUUUUCAGGAAUCGACGGUGAAGUACAUGGCCAUCCGACCAGCUCAGGAGCUGCCUCAAUUUUUGACAACAUACUUACACACACAUCUUCCAUCCUUGUCAAUAUAUCAUGGAAUUGGUCCAACUAGGAUCGAUCUCCUUGUCUGUCCCAAUCACAAAGACACAUAACUGUUUAUAUAUGGUUUAACCAUUUAAGACUUUUCAUUGGCUAUGUGUUAUCUUUUAAGCUUUUUGUUGCAUCUUGCAAGAUGUUGUGUGGUCUUGUUGUUGUUAGUUUCAGUCUAAGCACUCGUGCAGAGCCGGCUAUCCCGUUAUCUAAAAACAAUAUGCUUCCACCGUAAACUUUUUGAGAUAUGUUUUACUAUUCACCUUUAAAAAAAUAUAAUUAUUAUUUAUUUUGACUUAUAUUUUUUAUUAUAAUAGGUUUUUAAGCAUGACUUAUAUUUUUUUUUAUGUUUGCACAAAAUUUUUAAUAAAACGAAUGAUUGAAGAUUUCUUAAAAAGUUAAAGUGUAUAUUAAAAAAAGAAGGUUGUAUCCGCCAUACACAUCACACGUCACAUAUCCAUCGAAAAAAGGAUAUAAAAAUCAGCACCGACGAUAAAGCCAUAUCAUGCAUGUGUACACACUUUACCUUCGUCCUCUCAUAAUACCAAAUCAGUAUGCUAAAAGAAUAACUUUCUUGGGCCAUCCUGAAGAAGUACAAAUAAACGCAUAAAUCAUGUGUACAAAACAAGGAUCACACGAGGGCCUAACAAAUUAAAGGUUGGAGAAGAAAUCAAGCAACUUAACAACCGAUCAAAUGCUUCCAUUUCAGAUAGGAAAAAGUGAACAUAUAUGCUAAUGCUAAGACGUUAUCCAGGUGAUGGGAGCCUGAAACUGAACGUUGUUUGUAAGUAGCAUCCAUUGCUUGUGCCUUUCGGGGGUUACAACAUGCAAUUUAAAGAUUUGUAGGUGGAAACUAUUGUGCAAGUUGAUUUAUUGGCUAAAGUGUUGUGGCAAUUUAGCAUUUUGGGAAGCAACCGUGCAUGUAAAGAAGUAAUACUAAAUUCGUAUUUAAAUAUACGAUACUGUCGACUUUAUUUGAUCUUUGGAGCUAGCAUGACUUUCACCACUAUUUUGUAGCGGGUUAUUCAAAACAGCAAAGAAAAAAUACAUUCAUGUUGAAAAAAAAUAUUAAUAUCUAGUACUUGGUUGAAACGAGAUUCUUCAUUUAAAAAAAACCACAGUUUUUUUAAGAUAAUGGAAUAACAUUCCGGCCUUUGCUCAACAAGCUACAACCAAUUAUUAUAAAGUCCACACAUAAACAAAUUCAGCACACACUAACAUAAUAUAAAGAAAUCACAAACUAAAAGACACCAAUACAAGAUAAAAGAACCCUGAAUUACUAAAUUCUAUUUGAGAAUCUCCAUCCAAAGUUGGUAAAAAUGUGCAUAAUCGUUGACUCAAGUUUACGACAUACAUUAUUUAUUAGCUUGAUAUCAUCAUCAUCAUAUAUUUGUACUUGAGCCCAACCCCGAAGCCAAUAUAUUGCCCUAAAAAGUACCUGCAAAUAAGAUAAAAAAAACUACAGUUAGUAUACUAAGCAAGAGUGGCUAAAAACUACACAAGUACGUACUCUACUCUGCACAAGUACUGAAAAAAGCUACUCCUACAUCAUUCCCCACAUGCCAAUGGUGGUGGGUCGCCACCACCACUACACUAUCUUAAGAAGUAGUAUAGAUACUUAAUAAGAUGUAACAUAAUCGUAAUAUUUAUAAAGUAUUUAUAAGGGAAAAUCUUUCUAUAUAUGGUUUCUAUGUGCGUUCAAACUAAAUAUUUUGAGAGCAACCAAAUGAUCAAAAUUUUAAAAGUUUGACGAGUAAAGCCAAUUACGCCAUAUAUGCUGAAAUAUAUUUUAAAACAAGUAAGAAGUUUAGGAAGUUUAUUAUCCCGCGGUACACUAGUUACACUGCAUGCGUUUUCCAUGUUGUACAUGUACUAAAUACUCUAGUCGUGUUAAUUAAGGUACAACCCAUUAUUCCUAGAUCAUUUCAAAAGGAAAAAAUGUUAGUUAAGAAAACAUUUUCCCAUCUAAUUAAGCUGGCACUGAUAUAAUCCAGUAAAGUAAUUAAGGCUCUGUUUGAUUCAACUUAGAAUUAUUAUAAUCUGGAUUAUUAGGAGUAAGCUGAAACAAACAAGUAGAUUAUUAUAAUCUAUAAGCCAGAUUACUAUAAUCCAAUAAUCUCCUCUAGAGGAGCUUUUUUCAGAUUAUUGAGUGGCUAAAGACCCACUACCCUUAGAUGCCUCUAAUAAUCCAGAGAAACAAAUAACUCAUAGCUUAUUUUAUAUCAGCUUAUUAUAAUCCAGCUUAGAGUAAUCUGAUUUAAUAAUUUAGAUUACAAUAAUCUUAAGCUGAAACAAACAGGGCCUAAGGUAAUCUGAAAAAAAAUCACUUUCUCCUUUGCGUCCCCAAAUAGGUGGUCUGGAAGCGUGAGUGUAAACUACGUUACCUUGUCUAUGUCCUUUUUGGGGGGAAUCUUGCUUGUUGGGCCAACUUGCCUAACCGAUCUUCUUUUUAUGUACUCUAAGUUCAAUUCAUCCGCAUUGUUCAUUGUACCAAUGGGCUUUCAACUUGCGAAGUAUAUUGCUAACAAAAUCAUAGAAACAAACCAUAUUAUGUAUAAUUAAAUUAAAUAUACAACUAAAAUUAAUUAAGACAACCAUAUGUGUUAAUCAGAUAUGCAUAUCACAAAGUAUAAGCGAAUUUUGGUUUAAGCUGGCCUAUAUCUAUAUAGAUAAAAUUUUGCAUAUCACAGUGAAAUUUUGUAUAUGGUUCUUGAGAUGUACCGAUCGAUCAAGAGGUACACACAUGAUAUACCAUAAUUUACACUAAAAAUUAAAAUUACUUUCUUAAUUAGUACCUCCUCAGACACAGUAAAAAUUACUAUACAAUUAACACAUAAUCUCCUACUAACAGAUUUGAACAUAUCUUGAGCCAACUAUAAACAAUGAAAAUAAUGAAAUAAACAUAGCUCAACUACUAAUUAUUCUUUCAUUAGUAGGCAACAUAACCGUUGACAGUGAGCACACGUGAUGACUUCGUGAAUAUCAAGAUAUACUAGCCCAAACAUAAUUUGACGGGUGCUGAUAACGGUAGGAUGUACGUAUGCAUGUUCAUAAGAGUAAGUGUGCAUACAUUUAUAUGAGUGUUGUUUGUACUAUGUUUUAAAAAAUAAUUAAACAAUGAAAAUGGCAAGCAACAAGUACAAUGUACUGAUGUAUAGCUAUAUAUGUUGGUUUGAAUUGUGAGUGUGUCAUAACUAUCACUUGCUUCGUUUGCUAUAUAAACCCCGGCAACACUUGAUUCUUCUUCCAAGGACAAAGUUGCCAUCACCACAUCAAUUCACUGCUCCUCCAAUCCUGCUCUCAACAGUCAAGAUGGCCAUGAUGAUGAUGAGACACUCGUCUCAAAGCUCUCCAUGCCAUCACGCCAUCAGCCGCCGGAGCGCCGCCGUCGAGUUGCACCGCUGCUCCCGGCGGCGACGUCCAUCACCACUGACCACGACGGUGGCGCUAACCAGGAGGAGAUCACCGGCGGCGGUGCGGUGCUUCUCCCUCCACAGCGACAGCGGCGGCGGCGGCAGCGCCGGGGCUGGGCUGGUGGACGAGGGGAUGCCCGUGCUACGUCAGAGGAUCUCGGAGAUAAAGGCGGCGGCGGCGGCGACCGAGGAGGAGGAAGAGUACUCCAGCCGGGAGGCGCCGCCGGAGUGGGAGGAGGAGGAGGAGGAGUACUCCGUUUGGGAGACGGCGGCCGGCGGCGGUGGUGGCGGCGAUGGACAGCUGUUCCAUGUGCUUGGGGACUUCUUGAUGAGAUCCCGGCCGGGCGUCGCCGUGGGGAUCGCCGUGUUCUUGAUGGUCAGCUUGCCAACCUCGGUGUUCUUCGCAGGUUGCACUCGUUUAGUCGUCGAGUGUCAACGCCUUCUUUUCAACCUAACCAAGUGCUAAGGAGGUUAAUUAAUUAGUUAUAUAUCCCUUUGGUAUCAUUAUGUUUUGGUAAGAUUGUGUACUAUGUAGAAAAGUAGGAGUUAUAUACAACUUCACAUCGUGUUUACAUUUUGUUCCUUUUUUAUUUUUUUCAAACUGAAAUUAUGCAAGUACUGUACUAUGCAAAAGAGACAUAAAUGCACAUCACUAUACACACCAUGCACAUAACAUAUAUAAAAAUUUGUCAUAAACUUUUGUAAGUCCAAAUCAACAAAAAGAACUCCCUAGUUUGUGUCAAAAUUGUUCCCUUUUUAAAAAAAAUGUUCUCAUCUUUAGGUCAACUAGACUACUCCCUCUGUUCAAAAAUAAAACACAACCUGAGUAAGGAUGUGACAUCUCCUAGUACAAUAAAUCUGGACAUCCCUUUGUUCAGAUUCGUUGUACUAGAAAAUGUCGCAUUCCCUUCUAGAGUUAAUUUUUUAGGACAAAGGAAGUAAGCUUCAGUUCAUCUUUUUUUUAAAAAAAAAAAAGUCUCAUCUUUAGCUCAACAAGGGGGUGUCUAAUACGCGAACGAUCGCGGCGAUGGUCCCCUCGCGAUCGAGUUUCGACCGGGUAUAUUUGUUAAGCCAACAGUACCAGCUAUACCAUACCUUUGCUUCAUAUCAGUAUUAUCUCCAUGUGAUUAGUCAAAGUGAUUAUAUAUAUUUUAUAGCAAUUAGCAUAUGGUUAGUGUUCACUUAAGCAUAUUAGGUAUGCUGUCCUUGGUUGUAUUAGAGUUAAGGAUUUUCUAAAUAAAAUAUUUUUAUAAAUGUCAAUUUAAAUUUUAGAUUUUUAUACAAGAAAAUGAUAAACUUUAUACACGUAAACUUUAUACGCAUAAACUUUAUACACGUAAAUUUUAUACGCAUAAACUUUAUACACGUAAACUUUAUACAUGUAAACUUUAUACACGUAAACUUUACGUAUAAACUUCGAUAAAAAAGACUUUAUACCUGAAUUAUACUUUUAAAUAGAUAAAAUUGGAUUUAAAUUGUACAAUUAAAUAGAUUAUAAAAUUAAGAGAUAAAUAAAACACACACACACACACACAAAUAAUAGCAAUAAUGAUAUAAAAUUAUAAGAGUACCUUGCUAGCUAGUGUUACUUUGGUAAUUAACAAUCCAAAUUACCGUAUAGAGAAAUUACCGUACAGCUCCAACUCCUCUCUCCACAUGGGCUGGUCAAAGCCCAUAGGACAGGCCUCAAUCUCUCCCAGGUGAGAAACGUGAUCGCGUUUGCCUCCCCCACGCGACCGAUCGCUUAAUAGCAAUCUCGGCUCAACAAGACUAUGCUUCAGUUCAUUUUUUUAAAAAAAGAAAACAAGUCUAAAUGACAAAACAAUUGUCUACCUGGGUUCGUUGGUUUUCCACCCAUUAUAAGCCAUUAAAUUGCAUCGAAUUACAUAGCUACCCAUAUCGAAAAAUACUCCUUGGCAGUUGGCAAAGGCCCAAGAUCAUCAUUUCAACCGUCCCAUUGUGCACUCGCUCUAGAUUCCCAACCGAUUUAGGGUCAGUUCAUCUCUUUUCCCCUCCGGCAGGCCGGCGCCUCUGAUCACUUCCACCAUGCUCAUCUUGUUAAACGAAUUGUUGUACUAUCCACUUUUUGUAGGAAUAUGCGGAAAUAAAUCAUUAUUGUGCAUGUUAAGGUAUUUGGUUAAAGAGAUGAUCCCUCUGCCACUAUUACUCUUAUCAGAGUCUGAGUGCUACUAUUUAUCUAUCUAGUGUAGUGCCUGAUGUACCAAUCAGCAUGGCUCAUCAGUGCAACUAUCGUGGUGCCGGUUACAGACCAACACCUAUUAGGCUUACAAACCGGGACUAUAUAUAUGUGGGGUUUCUAUACUAGUGAUUAGCCCAACAAUAAACUAUGGAUUAUCCAAUUUUAUUACAUAAACUGUUUUGCACACGGAUUUGUUCUACUCAAGAGCAAAAUUAACCAUGGUACCAGAGCCAGCAACGCCAUCGAGCAGGCGUAAAGGGUGCUUUUCCGAUUACAACCACAUGCUGGUGCUAAUACAGCCAUACACAUAUCACACAAGUCAAUAAAUCAUCAAUGCUUGGUGAGAUGAAAUCUCUUGGAAAUAAGCACAUAAUCAAAACACCAGCACAACAACCUCUAAAAUAGCUCCAGAAUAAUCUAUAUAUGUACACACCUUACCUUCGUUCCCUCAGAACACCAAAUCAGUAUGCUAAAAGAAUAACUUUCUUGAACCAUCCUGAACAAGUGUCAAGUAUGUACUCAACGCAUAAAUCAUGUGUCCAAAACAAAAAUCGCACGAGGGGCACCUAAGAAAGUUAGAUAAGAGCAAGUUCAAUAAUAGCGUCAGCUACCGGCGAUAAAAUUUCCCACGUCACAUACACAGUAAAUAAAUUGUGACAUACUAUUUACCCAACAGUUCAUAGUGAUACUAUUUUAUUAUUUACUAUCAUUUCUCUCUCUUCCUUUACUUUUUCUUGACCAAUAGCAGCGAUCAUAACCUCCUCAAAUGCACAGCAGUGGGCCCGCUUCUCUUGAAAUGUGCGUGCAGCCCGACGACAGUUUAGUCGCUGGCUUGUUCUCUUUUCCAUUCUCUCUCCAUGCCAGCCCAUCGUAUAUAUAAGACAACGUGGCAUUGUUAUCGCCGACUUUAAAACCUUAUUGCACCUGCUCUAAGAAAUCAACCAAAGGAAACAACUUAGCAACCGGAUGCUUACAUUGGAAAAAGAAAAGAGAAGUGAGCAUGCAUAUGCUAGGAUGCUAUCUAGGUGAUAGCAACCUGAAACGAACUUUUUUUUUUUAAAAAAAAAGAAUAUUAUUCCGAUUGUCUAAUGUAUUGCUAUCGUACUAUGUACCUGCUGAUCUAGAGGUUUGUUGUUAAUACAUUCACAAAAUAUGAAAAGAAAAUCAUAAUAUUUGAUUCUCAUUUUUUUUCUGAUAGGGGUUUGGGAAACAAGCAAAAUCUUCUCUCAUUAUUUGUAGGUCUCGCAUAGUAGCUGAGUGGUGAUGAACUGAUCACUAGCUGUGGUAGAUUCACCGCUACCCAUACCAUCUUUUAAUUACUGAUUCAGAUUAUAAGACGUUUUGAUUUUAGUCAAAGUUAAACUGCUUAUAACUUUGAUCAAGUUUGUAGAGAAAAACAGUAACAUUUUUAACCCAAAACAAAUUUAUUAUGAAAAUAUAUUCAAUUAUUGAUUUUAUAAAAUUAAUUUAGUUUUAUAAAUAUUACUAUAUUUUUCUAUAAACUUAGUCAAACUUAAAACAGUUUGAUUUUAACCAAAGUGAAAAUGUCUUAUAAACUGAAAUGGAUGGAGGGAGCAUUAGAUAGUAUAGAAAUAAUUGUUGACCUCGUUGAGGCAUUCGGUUUACAGAAAUGACUCAUCUGGCAGACUGGCACUAUCACUCUGAUCUGAGCAAGUGCCAUGGUUUGCUAUAUGUUUAUGCCUGGAUUAGUCGUCCACCGUACUCGAAAAAUAUGUAAACCUUAAUUAUUAGGCCAUAGACAAGGAACAAAUACAUGUACUGUCUUUCCAUAUGGCUCCAAAGAAGUCCAUUUGAUGAAGUGAUGAAGAGCUAUAAUUUCUUAGCAGGAUGCUUAAGAGAGAUCAUCAGAGGAGUACAUCUGCACAAGGAAUCCGUAACCUCUGACCUCCACAUCAUCUCACAGCUGUAAUAAGCAACAGCUAUUGCGGACAAUACAUCUGACAGACACUAGCAAUGGCUCUGUAUGAACUUGAAACGGAAUUCCUACUUCCUCCCGUUCCUAAUUACUCCCUUCUUCCCUAAAUAUUUGACGCCGUUGACUUUUUUAAACAUGUUUGACCGUUCGUCUUAUUCAAAAACUUUUGUGAAAUGUGUAAAACUAUAUGUAUACGUAAAAGUAUAUUUAACAAUAAAUCAAAUGUUAGGAAAAGAAUUAAUAAUUACUUAAAUUUUUUAAAUAAGACGAACGGUCAAACAUUUUAAAAAAAAGUCAACGGCGUCAAACAUUUUGGAAUGGAGGGAGUACUAUAUAUCACUUCCAAAUAUCACACGAAAUGCAGGAGAAAUGGGCAUGCUGAUAAUUUCCUCCAUGAUUAUAACUUGCUAGUGUAGAGGAGGAAGAGAAGGAAUCCUAUAUAUAAAGGAUUGGUGUUCACUAACUCAGCCAUGAGGAGGUAGGCAGGUGACCUGGUAAUUGUGAGGCUGUAAAUUAAUUUAUACUCGUAUAUUCAUUUCAAUUUCUACUGCUGAAAUUAUGGCAUAAAUUAAUAUCUCAUUUACUUGAAGUACAGUACAUAUGACCCCUUUUGAGAGGACAUGCGGUUGGAUAUCUUAAUUAGUUUCUCUCAUGAUUACUAGCCAGUUAGUCGCGCGUUACUGUAACUCUGACUGGCAGUAUAUAACUAACAAUAAUAGUCAUGAUUGGAUUAAAUUUCUUAUAUUUAAAUUAGGCUUAGUUUUUAAUGAAAAUCUAAUUUGCAUGGUACAAUUGUAUCUUUAGUUUUUUAAAAGAGUCGGGGUGUUAUUCUUCAAUGCAUUAUUGUUACUGUUUCCAUGCACAUGACUUUAAAAUUAAAUAAAAGUGUCGUGAAUCUUGUGGUGGAUAAUUGUUUCCAAAUUAAUGGCCAAAUUUGUUACUUUUAUUUCGGAGAGUACUGGGCACGACGUAGUAAAGCCGACGCCGCCAAUCUCGAGGGAGGUAACCCCGCGUCGUCAACAGGUCAAAUUAAAGGCCUUCAUAGCCAUUGCCACACAAGGAUAGGAGUCCUAAGAGAGACAAUUGUAUCUAUUAAUUAGGACAUUUUCUAGUUUCCUUAGAGAUAUUUCAUCGGUUUGAUUAGAUCUUUUGCCUCUCUUCACGCUUAAUGCUGCAGAGAUAUUUCAUCGGUUUGAUUAGAUCUUUUGCCUCUCUUCACGCUUAAUGCUGCAUCGGUUAGGUUCGAUCUAAUAAGUAAUGUCCUGAGGCUUUUCAUCUAAUUUGUUCUUUGACUGCUAAUAGAGACAGUAUCAGGGUUUCAGCCGAUCUUACCUGAUUUAGUCGUUUUACCUUCCUUUUUGGUUCUAGAUCGUCUAGAUCUGCCUCUUAUAUCAAGAUCCCAUCCUCUUGACGUAGAUCAAGCUCCAUAGUAUCUAAGAUUGGGCCAAGCUUCUUAUAUUUCAUCUAUGCUGGUAUCUUGGUAUAAGGCAGUAUCGGGGUAUUAGCCUAUACAGGUUGGGUUCACUCCAUCCGCUAUGCUGUGAGCGCGCAUAAUCCCUUCUUUGGAGCAUGUUUAGAUAUGAAGCAAUUUAUACUGUCUCAGUGCCACCACCGAUCUAUCCCAGUCGCUCGAUCUAAGCAUGCCCCAUCUAAUGGAUUACGUGUCGCUGAUAUCUACAGCCGAUCAAGUACAUUGAACAAUCUCCAAGUUUUUACUUGCCUCCACCGAUCUGACUUGAAUUGCAUCGGCGUGGCCCCCAAUGAUAUGUCAUCAGCAAUCCUUGCCGAUCGGCUAUCGUUGACGGAUUUAACUCUUUGAUGUUCCCUGUCAUGUUGGUUGCAGGAUCAAACCAUCUGGCACGCUCAGAACCCGAAGGCAAAUUUCCUGGACCUGCACUGGAGUUAAGCAUAUCUCCUAGGCCCCUACGUGUCGAUUUUUCGAGUCAACAGCCGCCCCCGGAGCCGUAAGCGCGCUCCAGAGGCUACGAUUGCCUCCGCGAGCCUUGGUCGGCCCUGGAGCCCCUAAAUUGCUCCGGAGCCUAAGAUAGUAGUCACCUUCGGUCAUUUUCCUAGGGUGGAUGUCUCCGCCGAAGCUCGGUUCGCCUUUCGGAGGCUUGCUCCUUUACCUAGAGCCAUUCCCCCAACAGCAUUGUUUAGUAGUUUGAAACGCGUGUGCACGGAACAUGAGAGAGGUGAGUUGGGAAAGUUGGGGGAAGAACACAGCCUUAGCCAACCCUCUAACGGCCCAACCACCAAUUUGAGUAUUUCCUACUCAGUGCACUCACUCUAAACUCCCAAGUCCUAACUAAUUGACGACAAUCGAGUUCGCUGGUGGCGUCGCCUCCCCUCCGGCGGCCGGUUGGCUGCCGCCUUGCCUCUAACCGACUCCAUACCUAUAAUAUCGUGUUUUUUUAAUGACUAAUAGUAAAAUGUGUGAUAAAAAGUUAACGGUGCCAUCUAUUAAUUAAAAAACGGAGGUAGCUAGCAUAUCCUUAUGAAAUUUUGGAAAGAAAUCUUUGCACUCAUUGAGGCAUUCUCGGUUUACCAAAGAACCGCUGUUUGUGUUAUGAAAGUUCCACACUGUUGGUGACUGCCAAUAGCUACUACUACUAGCACUCUGAUCUGAGUAUGACUGCUAUUACUAUUUCAUGCAUUAUCCCUUAAUUAGUACCAGUGCUCGAAAAUUACACAUAAACAGACUCUCACCUGAAGGCCCCUUUGGUUAUUGCUACUUGGAAAGAUAUGAGCUUGAAACAUCAGUCUUAUGAACCCAUAUGUUUUGAAGAAACUAGCAAUGGCUCUGUAUGGACUUGAGACAGAAUUCCUAGUUCCUCCCAUUCCUGGUUACUAACAUUGUCCAAAUAUCCAAAAUAAUCUUGUGUUCGCAAGGAAGAGGAGGCAUCUUAUAAAAGGAUCAGUGUAUUGAACACUCACAACGGAUGUGGAAGGACAAGAGACCUAUAUAUAAGUGGGGAAGCCCCUCACCUCGUUGGCUAACUUUUGGGGUGGGAAAGACCUUUUACGAUCAUACAAUUGAUAUCAGAGUCUGGCUAGUUCAACAUCUCUGACCCCGAGGGACAAAGUGUGUGAAGGCCUGAUGGACCCUGGAUGCCUACGUGGCCUAUAUACUUGAGGGACUGUGACGAUACGAUGAACGGCCGAGGAACACCAAUAUGUGAACAAGGAGAUUUUGGAUAGUCUCACAUUAGUUGUGGAAGGGCAAUGGACCUAAUAUAUAUGUAGGGGAGCCCCUCAUCUCAGUGGCUAGCUUUUGAGGUGGGAAAGACCCUUGAUGAUGAUCUACACGGUGUUCAUUAACUCAGACAUGCAGAGCAUAUAGGCAGAUAGCCUUUUGUGAUUAAAAGUGCUAAUUCUUCGCGGCAAAUUGAUCUCCCAGAUUUCAUUAUUCAGAAAACGUGGAAGAUUGAUUGGACAACAAAAAUAAAUAUACAGGUGAAGAACAAGACCAAGUACAUACUUCUUACGCCGCCCAUUUGGAGAUGAAAGUAAGUGACCAUGCACUUGUUCAGAUCUCACCAAAAUUACCAAUCCACUUGAUCCCGGCCGGGCGUCGCCGUCGGGAUCACCGUCUUGAUGGUCUCCUUCCAACCUUUUGGUGUUCUUCACAGGUUGCACCUGUUUAGUCUUCGAGUGUGAUCAACGGCUUCGUCUUUAAUUUCAACCUAACCAAGUGCUAAGGAGGUUAAUUAAUUAUCCUUUUAUUACCAAAUGUUGUAUCAUAAUAUCUUGACAAGAUUGUGCUCUUUGUAGAAAAGUAGGAGCUAUACACAACUAUAUAUCGUGUUUACAUUUUUCCUUUUUGUAAAUUAUUGUUGUGUUUAAUGUUGCUAUACUUUUUUUCAAACUGAAAUUAUGCAAGUACUGUACUAUGCAAAAAGAGACAUAAAUGCAUAUCACUAUACACACCAUGCACAUGACAUAUAUAAAAAAUUGUCAUGAACUUUUGUAAGUCCAUAUCAAGAAAAAGAACUCCCUAGUUUGUGUCAAAAUUGUUCUUUUUUUUAAAAAAAAUGUUCUCAUCUUUAGCUCAACAAGACUAAGCUACAGUUCAAAUACGAGGGCUUUAAAAAAAAACACAAAUAGAUGUCAGGUGAUGAGGAACUGUUCGAGAAAUUCUGUAUCUAGAAAGGAACCUUUUGCAAAGUAGCAAACCAUGCGUUAAUCUCUCCCAGGAUUAAAAGAAACCAAUCACAAGCACUUUGGAUUCAUGCUACAAAAACUUUGGAUUAUUGAAGCAGCUAAUAAGCUGACACAUUCAUAGUCAGCUGACAUGGGGUCCUCCAAACAUCUACUCCCUUCGUUUCACAAUAUAAGUCAUUCUAGCAUUUUUCACAUUCAUAUUUAUAUUAAUGAAUCUAGACAUAUAUCUAUUUAAAUUCAUCAAUAUCAAUAUAAAUAUGGUGAAUACUAGAAUGACUUACAUUGUGAAACGGAGGAAGUACUGAAUACUGAUGAUAUAGUAGCAGCACGUCGUUGAGGGCACAUUCGUGGGCCCACGCGACUGUAAUGUGUUGAUUGUGUGUGUCUGAGUUCAUCAAAAACAAAGUUUAGAUUCAGUUUAUGGCGCUAAUCUGACCUUGCUAUAUAUACGGAGGGGCAUGGUUUUCUGUUAAGAGCGUAAGAGGCGCAGUAACACUAUCUUUACAAAAUCUCAUCCAAAACUAUAUCAGCACAACCAUUUAGAGGAAUGAGGUUGCAUCGCUGGUAAGACGUGCCAAAUUGUCCCAAAAGCACAAUGAGGUUGCCAGAUUAUCCAAAAGGCACAAGUAGACAUCCCUCCCCUUGGUCAGUCAUAUUACUCUAGGCAACUUCAAUCCCUUGCAGCACCUCUUCAACUCUAGUUUACCUACAUUCCAAAACAUUUGUCAGUUCCACAAACAAUUUGAUUAUAUCCUAAUCAAAUCGUUGUCUAAUUGAGUCAUCCAGUUAGCUAUAUGCCAAAAAUAAAUGUAUCCAAAUUGAAUGGUUUGAUUGUCAUCAGGUUAGCUAUGACAGUGUUGAACUUUGAAUUCUAAAUCUGGCUGCAUGGGCUGAUAAUGAAACUAACUUAUUUCAAACUAUAUGAAGCCACACCACAAAACAUUCAAAAAUAUAUAUAAAUAUUUUUGGGGUUCCUAUGAUACAACUAACUGCAAUGGUUGAGGAUAAAAUUAGGGAUAACAAAUACAAAAGUAAGGAACAAUAGCUCAACUAGUUACCUGCUUAGAAGCAUCAGUGAACUGUACAGGGAAAGUAAUACUUUCCCUAUAUGAGUCGAAGAGAUUAUGAACUUCAACCUUCAUAGACAGAAAGAACAAAAUGGGUGUUCAACGUUUUCUUUUACUUUUCAAUUCUAAAGAACCAAGUAACAUUUUUUUUUUGUUUUUGAACAUAUAGCUUUUUAAGGUACCUUCAGAUCGACUGUCAAAUGCAUCCCUUUCAGGUAUCCCCAACCAAGAGAAAGGAGGUGGUCUUCUAACUGCUCACAGAGUGUAAUUAAAUACUUAAAUAUAUCCCAUAUACUAUAUUUAUAGACAUAGUAAAGUGAUUAAUAAAGACUAAGAGUUCUACUCACCUGGGAUAAAGUAGAACAAUCAAUAUCCUGAAAAUCAAUCACGUCCCCUCGUCUAAUACCAAGCUUUUCAGCAGUAGAAUCAACGAGCACCUAUGAGACCAAAAGAGUCAAAUACUACGAGAAAAUGAAUCAACUAUCACCUAUGAGACCAAAUGAGUCAAAUACUAGGAGAAAAAUAUAUGUACAGAAUAGUAAUAUACCUGACUCACAAUGAAACCACUGGUGAUAUUAUAGUCACGACAGAGUUCCUCCUGAAUGGAGACAUCCAGUAGUUCCACUGACUUCAAUUGCAUGCCAAGCAAGGGGCGAGCAACACGGCUAAAAAUAAGUUGGAUUUAGAGCAUCAGUUCCAAAAGUAAACUAUACAGUAUUUUUUUUGGCUAAGCCACAAGGGCUCCAUAAGGCAACAGUACCAUGUCUUUCAGUUUACAAUGCACAUAUAAGGAUGUAUUGACUGUUCCAUGCUCCUAUCAGUUUAUAUUUCAGUGCAGGAAUGGGGUAAUUGCCUCCAUACCAUCAAAUUUGUUGCAUAUUGGCAAUAUAUGUACCAUCCAAUCCAUUACCAUUUAUCCUCAAUAUAAUUUAUUAUAAACAUGUUAAGAAUAAUGAAUCACUCACCCAUUAGAGCAAGUUUUAUAGUAGAGGUGGCUAUCACCUCUAAUUUCAUACAUGUCAUACACCAAUAAAUUAAGAGGUACUCCCUUUGUUUCAUAAUGUAAGUCAUUCUAGCAUUUCCCACAUUCAUAUUGAUGUUAAUAGAUCUAGACAUAUAUAUCUAUCUAGAUUCAUCUUGGGGCUUGUGUUUGGAUGCCCAUAGUACUUGCUCUUAUGGCUAGAACACAAAAUAACUAAAAUAGAAACAUACAUGCCCCUAGCAGCCAAAGUUUGCUAUAAUUCAAACACCACCAAAAUCGCAUAAUCAAUGUGCUCCUGUGCCGUGAGCAGCGAGCCAGCAAUCAAUAUAGGGCACUGAGCAGCAAUGUGACAACAGCAGCGGCUGUUGGGGCUGCAAAGCUAGGAGCUGCAAUGGCAGUAAAGUUGGCCAUCAGGUGACAAGGGCUCAGGAUGUUUUAGUUUUGCAACUGUAGCCAAUUCAUCACUUGACAUUUAGCAAAUGGGGAUUACAGUACUUCUUGAGUCUUGAGGAGCAGAAAUCAUGAUGAACAUGGAUGGCGGUGGUAUAAGGGUAACAGGGAAUAAACUAGAUGGUGUUUCAGCUAGCAUAAAUGAAUGGGCCAUAUUUUGGCAUGUGGAACAAAUUGGCCUUUAUAGGGAUAAUUCUCUCUAACAGAUAUGAUGCAUAAAUUAUAUUAUUACUAGUAUUGUAUGAGGUCACUGGUACAUUUUGUAUGCUAUUUUUUCCUUAUGUUCGACUUCAGCAAUAAAAAGCUUUAAAGUAUGUUGCACUGAACCUGAGGUUUGAGAUUUAAAUUGCCCUUCCUAAACGUGCAACUUAUCCCAUAUUUGAACAUUGACAUUAUAUCCAGAAUCUAGAUGAUGGGCCCAACUUGUAUGAUCUAACAAACAAAGGAUAACAUAAAAAAACACCAGACAGCUUUCCUAUCAACCUAGUGGUGGUGGUGUCACCCCCACCUCGAUAAGUUGUGCACACACUUUAAAUUCAAUAGAACAUUAAAUACAACGAUAAAUUUUUAAACACAUAACUGGCAAAUAAAAUAACUUCUGUGAACAAGAGACAAAAGAUACAUCAACAACUCUACCAUAAGUGAGAUAACUGCCUAACUGAUCACAGUUCCUAAUAACAACAAAUACCUACUUUUCAAGAUAAAAAUUACUAUGUUUCAGCACUCAAGAUAAGUGGAUAAAUUCAAUAAAUAAGGGAAAGUUUGUUUUUGCUACUCUUAGAAGUCACAGUUUCAAGAUUGCCACUCUUAAAACUUGAUUUACGCUUUCGCUACUUCUAUUAGCAAUGCAUUUCAAUUUUUGCCACACCGUCAACUUGAGUCACUGAAAUUGCACUGCAACGGCGCUGGUUUUUGUGGUUGUCAUCAGAACCCAAGCCCUUCUAUCCAACCGUGCUGAUGAGUGACGACAUACUCUGCUGGAACCAUCCCCACACCUCAAGAUAAAAAUGCAUUCAUGAAUAGCAUGUCAUUGUAAUGAACUAAUGAUCAAUGAGCAAGCAGGAACACGUUCAGACAGUUGUCAUGAGUAGAUUCAAGUCACAAGAGGGACCAUAAACACCAUCGAAUACUUUCUAGCGCUUGAAACAGUGUACUUAGCUGAUAGGAUGUUGACAGAGUGGCAAAAGAUGAAAAUGCACUGUUAACAAUAAUGACUGCCUAUAAAUUUUACAUUUAGAUAACAGGUAAGAGAAGGGAACAAACCUAAACUGAUCCCACAUCUCCAUGCAAGUCAUGAUUGUCUUGAUAGAGAUAAAGACCGGACCCGGAUUUUCUACAAAUGCAAUCCCAAUCAUAUUGCCACCAUGGUCAACCACCGGCCCUCCUGAACCACCCUACAUUAAAGAGAGACUCCAAAAUUAACGAGAACAUAAGAAUGCAUUAAAAUGCCAGCAUAAUAAUGCAUCAAUACCUCAGGAAUAUCACAGCUCAGAAACAUAUUGUGGUUCCUCAAUAACACAGGGUAAUCUGUCCAUGAAAUUGUUCCAUGGCUAACCAUUAAAGACAUGUUUUCACCCCUACCCAAUGCAAAUAUGACCUGACCGUAGUUUGUGCCCGAUCCAAAAGAAGGGACCUCCAACUUGUAGUCUCCCAUGACUUCCAAAAGAGCAAUACCAUAGUGCACAUUGUAGAACAACAACCUUCCUUCUGUUGUUGUCUUAUUUGGCAUACUGACGGAUAGCUGGAAAGUUGAGAUUUGAUCAACUAUAGUUAACUUGUAUACAAAGGACUAAUAGGCGAAAAGGAAAUCAUAAGAACUAAAAUAGAUAAGAACCUUAGAAACAUUAAGUGAGUUAAUUAAGAUAACUGAAGAAUGAGCAAAAAAUUUAGAAAAAAAAUCAACAUCACAGAGAAUAACAAGGAAAAGGCAUGCAAGGUUUAAUGUCCAUAUUCUGUAACAGCUGCACAUCUCUAAAAGAAAAGACAACCAGGCGCAUAAUAAGAUCUUAAAACAGUGCUAAGCCAUGGUGAGACAAACAUGCAUUGGUGUUACUUACCUUUCACAAGAACCAAUACUAAAAAUAUAUAAAUGCGAGCUGAAAGUGCUACCAUGCAAAGCUCAUUGACUUGACAAGGAAAUUGAACUCCUUAUGCUACAGUUAUCAAGGGAUGGCUUGGGUGCAUGAAAUUCAUGGAAAUAAACUGUAAACAAUUUAGAAAGGGCUCACGACAAGGUAAUUAAAUUGACUCUUUUAAGAAGUUUCGAGGGUGAACGGGUUUUUCUUCAUUGUACCUUUGUGGCAUAAAGAGAAUUAACAUGCUGGUGAAGGAGUUUGUAGAAUUGAUAUGUUAACGGAAGAAGUUAGUGUGUGUCUAAACUCAUAGAGAUCUGUUAUAAGAUAUUUCCCAUUGCUAGAAACUUGCUGUCUAAUGGGUUGCUUGACAUUACAUAAUUUUGGUUUGUGGAGCAAAAGCAAAGGGCUAGAAUUUCUGGUGUGGGAUAAUAUUAAGUGGAAAGAGGCCUAUGGAAUGCUCGGUGGCCAAGUGGACAAUGCAACCUGUUCUUUUUCUUUUCUUUUUCUUUGUUUUUUUUUUUUUUUUUUUGCCAAGCAGUCUCAAGUUUGUAUUAAAAUACCUCCCGAUUUCUAUUCAAUUUCAAAAAUUCAGCAAGUUGAGCUACAAUGAGCAAUUACUUCCCUAAUUAACGGCAACGUAAAUUGAAACUUACAUGAUAAACAAAGAGGAAUCAGAUAACAGGCAGCAAUUGGUAUCUCAAAAAGUUAAAACGAAUUGCAGACGACAUGAUCAACUACAGUUAUGAGAUAUGAAGCAUUUAACAUAGACUACACACAGGGCAUAUAUAUAUAAUUCAAAGAAGAGAGUUAAGUACCUUGAGUGCUGGGUUAUGCAAUUCACCAUGGAAGUCACAAACAACAGAAGCAGCAGUGAGGAUCUUGGCACGUUUGUUAGCCCCAUCCCAACCGAUUACGACGCCAGUGCACCGGGAAAUCAAUCCACCCCCAUCUGCAAAGUCAUCGAAUGCCAUUUAGCUAGCUAGGAGGAAUCGAUCAUAUGAAUGAAUAAUAACGAAUUGAGCCUUAGAUAAUUGUGUUACUACCAGGCAUUGUGGAUGAAACACUGACAACGGAGCGAGCCACACGCAGCACCAUGGCCUUGUCUUGUGAUGUGACGACGGCAUCUGCAGUGAUGGGAUCCAUGGGCGAAUGCCUGAGAGUGGGGAUAUCUUUACAUUGAGCUAACGAAAAGAAGGAUGGCGGUCAGUGGCAUGGAUCAAGCAGGAGGGAUAGGAAACAAAUUAUAGAAAGAAGGAAAGAAAUAUUGAAUUGAACCUUUCUUGGAGAGUUUGGCGAUCCGGCGGCGCUCCUUGGCCCACUCAAGAACGGAAUCCAAAUAUUUUCUGUCAAGGACGGGAUCCAAAUAUUGUCUGCUGGUAGGACGAGUCCCCGGUGGUAAGGUGGGAUAAGGCGGGUAGCGAAGAGGGAGCGGCCGGGAGGCCAAGGUCGUACUACCGGCGGUGGUCAUCUUCUUCGGAACCGGACCUGCCGCCGCUGCUGAUGACGCCGCUGACUCUUCUGUCCUCUUUCUCUUCUUCGGAUCCAGUGCCGUGCCCCCGCCACUAGCUCUAGCGCGCUCAGUAGUAUCCCUCGCUCUAGAUCGAGUAACACUUCCGGCGGUGGGAGCCGUAGCCGGAGCGGGAUUCUUUUUCGAUGUGUGGCUUUCUCCACCCUCGCCGGUGGAAGGGGAUGGCGCCACCCCCUUCGACGACCUCAGUUUGGGUGGCAUCGCCGAUUCGCCGCUCGAGUUGCGGCGGCGGCGGCGGCGGCGGCGGCGGAGGCGGAGCUAGGUUUCUUUUCUUUUUUUUUUACACAGGAGCUAGGGAUCGGUCGGGUUCCUUUAAAUAUACUCCGUAUAUAAGAUGGGCUGUGCCGGUUCUUGGGCUGCCAUCCGCGGCCGAGCCACGACACGGCCUGCCAAGCCAGCAAAGCAUCCAACCAGCACAAAAUUUUGGCAAGUUUGGUAAGGCACUUUAUUUAUGCAUCAAUGACGAUAGAUGCAUUCGCCAUAGUUCCAGCAUUACGGCAUGAACAGCGGAUUUCUCCCUUCUCUCAUCCAUCGUCUUUGUUAAAGUAGCAAAGUUGUGUCGGAAUUGACAAUUGGCGCGCUGGCAACGUUGCUGGUACCCGCGUCAUUUUUUUUUCGUGAUUUUCUCUUUUUCUUUUUUUUUGAUUUUUUUUAAUCUUCAGCACACAUGUUUUCAAAUCUGAGUUGAAAGGUUUUAAAUCUUGACUUAAAAGUUUUUAAAUCUCGUGUUGAAAGUUUUAAAACCUGAGUUAAAAGUUUUUAAAUUUUGUCUUACAAAUUUAAAUUUCAAGUUAAAAGUUUCUAAAAUUUGACUUCAAAAUUUAAAUUUUUAAGGUGAAAGUUUUUAAAUUUAACUUGAAAUAUUUCAAUCUGUUAAAAAAAAGAUCUUUCAAAAAAAAGGAAAAUCUUUGCUUAAUUACAGUCAUUAUCUAAAACUAACUCAGUUAGUUAGACUAAGCUACUCCCGGAAAAUGCUCGUUGCCAGCGCGUGAGUGAGGUAGCUUUUCCUAAGCUGUGUUACAAUCUUAGGGCUUAUUCGGAACAAAGAAAUGUAAAAUCAUAGGAAUAGGAAAAACGUAGGAAUAUGAUAGGAUUACAUAUGAAAAACAUAGGAUUGGAAAACCACAGGAAAAAUACACAACACGUUGUUCGGAACAUAGGAAUAGAUCAAAACAUAGGACUUUCACCAUGAGUAUAAAAAAUAGUUUUUUUUUGCUUGAUGAGUGUUUAAAUAAGCUCAUUUGAGGUUACAUGCAUUGAUUUGUCUUGGAAUUCUCAAAGGAAAAUGAAAAAGAGGUCCCAGUGAAUGUUCAGUUUCCUAUGGAUUUCCUAUGAAAUCAUAGGUGAAGGAAAAAAUCUCCAAUUUUUCCAUGCCCCAAUUCCUUCAAACCGAAUAAGUGAAUAGUACUUAAAUCCUAUAGGAAUUGGAUCCUCCAAUUUUCCUCCAAAGUUCCUACAAUCCGAAGAAGCCCUUAAUCUUAACCACCUAAAAAAUUGGUAAUUUUUCGUUCGUCUAAAUAAUUUUUCGUCCUCCCGAUGGAGCAAUUGCCUCCGUUCCCACGUACGCGCAAAUUAAUCCAAUCCAAUCAGACAAAGAACCUAGAGGAAGAGAAAACAAACGGGAAGAAUGAUAGAAAUUGCAUAAAUCAUUUUUUUCGACUGUCACUCUCAUGUCAUCUCGAGCCCGCAUCAAAUCAGUUACGGGAUUUCACAUAAUCAAUUCGUGUUACACCUUUCCUAAAAAAAAUCCCUAAUUUGCAAAAACCCUAAAUUUCAAAAUCUAAUUUGCAAAAAUCCUAAAUUUGCAAAAACCCAAAUACAAUAACUGAAGAACGGCAGACAAAAAAAAACCCUAAAUCAUGGUCUCACCGGUUUUGAUCUUCGGCCGCUGAUGGCAUGACUUCAGAAAUCCGAUUUGCCCUGGACUUCCUUUGGUGGUGUUUGAAUCCAGUGAAGAUAAAAGAUUAAAUGUUUCACGUAAAACGAGGUUGUAAUAACGUGUGAUUAAUUGAGUUUUAAUUAUUAUAAACUUAAAAAAUGGAUUAAUCUGAUAUUUUAGAACAACUUUCAUGUAGAAAGUUUUCGUACGAAAUAUACCGUUUAGUAGUUUGAAAAGCGUGUCACGAGUAUCUGAAAUUAAAUCUAAGUUAUGUUGGAGAAAAGAAGGCCUUUCACGUACCUAGCCGUCGGCCUGGACCCUAGUCUAGCCACUUGGGCUAUCGAUGGAUUAUCACUACAGUGGCUCCUCUCUAAAUAAAAUGAUUGGCGCUAGAGAUCGUGAAAUGGCUCCUGUAAUCUAACAACAGUAAUGGUUCAAAUGGAAAGGUUGUGCAUUGACCUAUUGAUGGUGUUGGAAUUAAUAGAUGCGGGCCUUAGUCCACUCGAAGAUUAAUUCUUUGGAAAAUCACAAAAGUCCAUCUCUUGGGAUGGCAUGCAUGAAGAGUUUAGUACCACCUUACUUAUUCUAUGAGAGAGACCUCUUUAAAAGAGAGGAUGCCCUCUUAGCCACUUGAAGCAUGUGAGGUGGAGAGAAGAGGGGGAACACGUGCGCGCUCAUCUCGCCUUGCCUCACCUAGCGGUGUAGUUUCGUAAAAUCCGGUGCGUGAAAACGGUGUGGAGUCCGGAUAAGUUACGCACAACUUAUCUGGUUCGGUUGUUUUCUUUUUUUGCUGCGGGAAGGAAAAUUCGGAUUUGUUUUGUUUUGGAAACAUUCCGAAAAAUCCGGUUCGUGAAAACAGCGUGGAGUCCGGAUAAGUUACGCGCGACUUAUCCGGUUCGGUUACGCGCAGUGGAGAUCGUGCGAGCGCCUUGAUCAAGCGACAUUUUCUCUAUAUAAACCGAGCCGCCGCCUCCACGCAACACACUGGUUCGGUUACGCGGAGUGGAGAUCGUGCGGGCGCCCUGAUCAAGCGACCUUUUCUCUAUAUAAACCGAGCCGCCGCCUCCAUGCAACACACAAAAAAUCGGUUCGGUUACGCAGAGUGGAGAUCGUGCGGGCGCCCUGAUCAAGCGACCUUUUCUCUAUAUAAACCGAGUCACCGCCUCCACGCAACACACAAAAAAUCAAUCUAGGGUUUGCCUCCUACUCUGCGUUGCGCCGUCGCUCGUAGACUACUCCAUCCCGCUGGUGCGUGAAAACGGCAUGGAGUCCGGAUAAGUUACGCGCGACUUAUCCGAUUCGGUUACGCGGAGUGGAGAUCGUGCGACCUUUUCUCAAGCGUGCACCGGCGUUGGGGAUCUCUUGGAGUCCCACACUUGCGGCCACCACAACUUUAACCUAUCAAAAUCCCUUGGAGUGCCACACUUGUGGCCACCACAACAAUCUUGGAUCAAUAUCAGAAUUCAACCAAGUUGGGGAUCAUCACUGUCACGCCCAGAAAUAUACACCAUUUCCAAACGCUCAGUGCAUUAAUCCUCGUCCCAGGAGGCGAGGUACACAUAGACAUUGUUGAUUAUUACAAGCCACACUUGCGGAAACGUAAAGGAAGUACUUUAUUACAUGGGCGACUCUAGGCCCUCACACUCAAAGAUAGACAAAUAAAACAGCGGAAGACUACAGAACAGUAGCAGCCACAGGCACUCGACGGCGGAGCGAACUAGAGAUCCAAGCCUUCAUCUUCCUCAGGUCCAUCCUCUGAAUUAUUUUUGUGAGCAAGAGUGAGUACCACCACCGUACUCAGCAAGUCACACCGAAAAUGCAACAAUAAUGCAUAGGGGAAACAAUUUUGCAUAAAGCCAUAGUUUAAACAUUUUAAUCAGGUUAAAGCUCAUUUUAAAACACGAUCCUGUUCUAAGCCAAUAUUUUAAUAUCAUCAAGGUCGCAUGAGCCUGCGAACCUGCCUUAACCCAGGCUAAAAUCCACAUGACUGCACCAUCAUGAUUUUACCCUCCCAAGGUUUUAUAAAACAAAUCUAACUUUGGGUACAUUGCUCAGCUUGCCCAUAACCGAGGGCGCGACUAUUCGAAUAAUUUUUAACUCUGAUCAGAGGUGUACAACUUUACCCACAAGACACAACCUCAACACGUGUUGCCACACGCCGGGUACCACCACUGUACUCGGAUAGAGGUCGUGACAAGACUAUCCAUUUAGGUCUACCCAAAACAGGAGAACCCGCUGAGGUUUCGCCGCCCACCGGUCCCUGAUGAGGUGAAAGUCAACGGAUCCCCCGGGACGAGACAUCCCCCCUUGCGCCAGGUGAAAAUCGGCCUUAAUCCUGGCCCCACACCCUUCCAACCAAUGGUCUCUGUUUUGAGAAGAUCUAAACUUCUGGUCAGGCCUUACCCACUAGACUUGUGGUUGCACGAAGAUGCCUUGCAGCAGAGGCCCGAAGACCGGUCCUUAUAAUAGCCGGGGUGCGACUACCAAAGUAACCAGCUUGCACCCCAAGCCCAGCCCAAAAAUAUGUUUUAGUUGCACAAAGCAUUUUAUUACCCAUCUAUUGACAAACCCGUCAAAUAGUCUAUAACUAAUCCAGUUUUAGUUGUUACCACCAUGGUCUAGUUUAUCCAAAAGUUCUAGGUUGAAACUAAGCAUGACUAAGCAUUUACCUAAAGCAACUAGUCAGUCCAUCAUGUAGGGUACUAGACUAGUCAAGUUAUAAUUUUACUAGGGUUCACAAGGGUCAUGGAUAUCAAAUCAACAUCAUGGCCAUAACAAAGAUCAUAGGAAUAACUAAUAAAACAAUAUUAAUAAUGAACGGUAUAAUUUAUAAAGCAAUGCAAUAUAAGUAAAACAACAUAAUUUUCACAAUAUGGGAUUCAACAUGUUCAAGGUAGAUAUGACUUGUCUUGAUCUUCUGGAACGGCAGGAUCUACAUGGCCAACGCGAAGAAAUACAAAAAGGCUAAUAAAAACCAUAUGAACAGAAGCAAUAAAGCACAUAAAUGGGUUCUACUCAUUUUUAGGAGAAAUUAGAGAUUUGAACAGGUCAAUUCCGAGUUCAACGGGUCAAGAUAUGGCCAUUUGAAGUUCAGGUGUUGUUUAAAUGGAAAUUUGUAAUUUUGUAAAUUAUUUUUCUAAAGGAAAACUUCAAUUAUUGAGAGAGAGCGCACGCGGACCAGGUCCACAAGCGGGUCCCACUUGACAGUCGCUCGGUCCACCAUGAGCCGAGCACACCGAGGUGGCUCACAGUGCACCGACGCACAGACACAGCCGGGCAGGAGCAGCACCAAGGUUUACGAUUCCGAUAGGCCCUUCCGUUUCGGGCACUGGCGGAAUUCAGAAUUUCACGAAAUCCGGUGGAAAACCGGCAAAUUCCGAACAAAUUUCAUAAACCAAAAUUUGAAUACAAAUUCCCUGAGUUUGCCGAGAAGUUCUCGAAAACCGGUCGGUUUUGGCGAAAUUCCGAUCGAAAUCAUCGAAAUUUCGAUCCGUAACUGGGCCCACGUAAGUAUUUUCCUUUUUUUAUUUCUUUAUUCUUUUCUUUCUUAAUGUAGGUUUCAGUAAUUACACACAAUACAUUAUUUUUUUCGAAAAUUUAUAUCCCAAUAGAUUACAUGAAUAUCAUAGUAUUUAUAAGAUUUUAUUUGAUUUUUUCUUUUUUUAUCAAUUCAAAUAUGAAUUUGGAUGAAACUCAUCGAAAUCUCAAAUAGUUUCUACUUUCGAGCCUCGUCGAAACGUUGAAAUUUCGCGAAAUUCGACCGGAUUUCGUCGGAAUCGUAAACCUUGAGCAGCACCCGACUAGGCGGCUCGCCGGCGACGGCUAACCGCGCGGCGGCGGUGCGACGGAGUACGGGAAAGGGAAAAAUGGAAAGGGGAGGAGGCGAAGGUUCUCACCGAGAAGACACGGCGGCGAGAGGUCGACGGCAGGGUUUAUGAUUCCGACAGGCCCUUCUGUUUCGGGCACUGGCGGAAUUCGGAAUUUCACGAAAGCCGGAGGAAAACCGGCAAAUUCCGAACAAAUUUCAUACACCAAAAUUUGAAUACAAAUUCCCUGAGUUUGCCGAGAAGUUCUCGAAAACCGGUCGAUUUUGGCGAAAUUCCAAUCGAAAUCAUCGGAAUUUCGAUCAGUAACUGGGCCCAUGUAAGUGUUUUCCUUUUUUUAUUUCUUUAUUCUUUUCUUUCUUAUUGUAAGUUUCAGUAAUUACACACAAUACAUUAUUUUUUUCGAAAAUUUAUAUCGCAUAGAUUAUAUGAAUAUCAUAGUAUUUAUAAGAUUUUAUUUGAUUUUUUCUUUUUUUAUCAAUUCAAAUUUGAAUUUGGAUGAAACUCAUCGAAAUCUCAAAUAGUUUCUACUUUCGAGCCUCAUCGAAACGUCGAAAUUUCGCGAAAUCCAGCCGGAUUUCGUCGGAAUCGUAAACCCUGGUAGUCGACGGUGUUGCCGGCGGUGAGGAAGAAACGGCGAGAAGCUUCGAGUCGUCGGCGUCGUCGUUCCCGCGGUCCUCGUGCUCGACGGAGGGGUGGACGGGGAAGAGGAGGAAGCGGCGAAGCGGAUGGUGGCGACUCUGGGCUCCGACGAGGUCCCGACCACCGGCGAGGGGUGGCUGGAGUUGCGGCAGCGGCGGCGACGCAAGAAGAGAGCGGUGCGGCGGCCGCGGAGAGAGGAGGGAGAGGGCGGCGGUGUGUGUGGGGAGAGAGGAGGGAGUCGGGGUCCCUUUUAUAGGCCGAAGGGGAGGGAGAGAGACGCCGGCCAUGGUGGAGUUCACCACUGAUGAGCGUCAUCAAAAUCCACCACGAAUAAUGCGGGAUCGAGUGGGAAAUUAUGGGGGAAUUGGAGAGGAUGGGGUGGGAAUUAAUUCCCCUCAAGUAAUUUGAUGAAACGGCGAGUGGAGGAGGUGAAUCAGAGGUUGCCGUCGGUAGGAAUUCGGCCGGAGAGAGAGAUGGUGGCUGGAGGUUAGGGAUGAUGGAUGGGACCCACCUGUCAUCGAGAAGGAGCACACCUGUCUCUGACUGGGACCGCGGUGGAGGAAAGAUGGACUUAGUCCGAGGGAGAGGCAAGAGCUGGGCCGGCCCAAGGAGAGGGAGGGGGAGGGGAGAGAAGAAAGGGGGUGGCCGGGCUAGGCCAAGAGAGGGAGAGAGGGAGAGAUGGGCCGGAAACAGCCCAACUGGAGGAAGAGGAUUUCUUUUAGCUCUUCCUUUUUACAAAAUUCUUUAAUUGUUUUUGUUGCCUUAAAAUUAUUUAGGAUGCUCUGGAAAUUCAAGUAAAAAUUGGUUAAACAUUUUGAAGCAUGGGGAAUUUAUUAAAAAUACCUACAAGCCAAUUUGAUAUAAAACUUGGUGAAUUUUAAUUGUUGGAGGCUCUUUUAGGCUUUUAAAAUUUCUAGAAAUGCAUUAAAGCACGAUUUAACUUUAGGGCGAUUUUCAGGGCGUUACAAUCACCAUCAAAAUCAAAGAAAUCAAACCAUGCUCGGGUGGAUCCCCCACUCUACCCAGUUCAGUAUCACGGAGGGGGACAACUUCGAGGCUGAGAAGUAUACCUUCCAGGAGGUCCGUCCGUGCAAGGAGGAGCACAGCCACGGCCAGCGGAGACGGAUCGACGAGGCGGCACACCUUCCCGCUGCCCCGGAGAAGAUACCAACCGAACCAAAGCAACACCCGACUGAGAAGCACUCAAGGAGGAAGAGGAGGAGGCGAGGAAGAGGGCUUGCCACCCACUACAACUGCUGCUCGGUUGUUGCUGCGGCUGCGACCACCAUCGGAUGCGGCGAAGCCGGUGUUUGGGAUGAGAGAGGGCGAAGCGCUCACACCGCUGCUAGUUGCGUGGUGGAGUUUCACGAGGUAGGGCCGUGGACGAAUUUCCCUAGGGUUAUGAGGGGUAAUGGGCCGGUAACCCCACCUUACCAGGCUUAUCCGAAUGAACUUUUGAGUAACUCAGGGAUUUAUGGAAAAAGUACACCCAAGGUCCCUCAACUUGUCAUCGAGAUACAAAAUCAUCCUCAAACUACAAAACCAGAUAUCCCGCGUCCCUUAACUAAUCAAAACCGGUCACAAAAGGUCCCUCGGUGGUUUUGACCCCGGUUUUCGCCUACGUGGCGGUUGAGUCAGCGUGGGACCCACGUGGGCCCCACAUGUCAACGUAAUCCACGUUUCACCCUCCUCUUUCUCCUCUUCUCUCUUUCUGGGCGAGGCAAAGCGGCGGGAGGCCAGCAGGCGAGGCGGGAGAGAGGAGGGCAGCAGCGCCGCGACGGUGGCCGGCGGCGCGACGGAGGCCGGCGCCCGGCGGCGGAAGCUGCAGCUGGGAAACACGGCAAUGAGGGAGAAGGGGAGCACGGCGGCAGCUUCGAUUCAUUCCGACUCCUUCCCAUCGCCACCUUUUCCUUUUCCUCCAAAUCCAACCCCCCUUCUCCCCCUUCUCCGGCGCCGCGGCGGCGGCGACGACACCGGAGGGCGGAGGCGCCGACGCUCCCUCGGCUCGCCAAAAGGUAACCCUCAGCCAUCCCUCUCUUCCUCCCUCCUGCUUCCGUUCUAAAUGAAAAAAAAAAUCAAAAAACACGAUCGAUCUGCAGCUAUGGCGAACCUGGGCAGUGGCGCCGAAGCGCACACGCGUCUUCUCACUCACCGACGACGACCUUGUUUAAGGUGGAAAAUAACGUCUACGAGGUCUGUGCCGCGCCGCACACCGCGCGUCCGCCGUUGCGAUAUGCCGGAGCGACCUCCUCCGAUUUUCCUGCAGAUAAGAAGCAAUCGAUAGAGAUAAACUUGAUUUAUUAUAGUUCGUUUUGUUGCUGGGCCAUAGUCCGGUGACAAUAAUUUAACUUGUUCCUAUGUUGCUGGGUUUGAAACUGCCUUUGCAUGGCGCAUGCACGCAUGAAAUGGCAAGCUAGCUAGCCUCCACACUGCCGCCGCCGCCGCCAGCAGCUCACUCGAUUCCUCCCGCGCAAUCCUGAUGCCGCAGUGGUCAACCUCGCCAUGGUGCUCGUCCUCUCCGCCGCCGACCUCCGCGCUAUCAGCGUCUCUGCCCGGUGAGGAGGUCGCCACCGGCCUCCCCGCCCCCCUUGCUUGCCCUACCUCCUCCCUCGACAGCGGCCUGCCUUCGCGCCUGUGGCGUCUGCAACGGCAGGUGAGAGCGGUGGUGGAGCGGCGGCGGCAGCGCGUCGCCAGUCGCUAGCCGCCGCCGUCGUGUCGCCCGUCGCCGGCCGCCGACGCCGUCGUCCUCUCCCACCUCGCCCCGCCCGAAGGCAGUAGCCGCCAACGUCCUACCCAGCUGCCUAGUGCCUACCCAGACGAGAAGAGUGAGAGAGGGAGGAGAAAGGGAGAGGAGGGGGGAGGGUAUGACGUGGCCAGAUGACAUGUGGGGCCCACGUGGGUCCCAUGCUGCCUCAGCCGCCACGUCGAACAAAACUGGGUUGAAAACCACCAAGGGACCUCGGGUGACCGGUUUUGUAUAGUUGAGGGACCCCGCAUAUCUAGUUUUACGGUUCAAGGACGCUUUUGUAUCCCGGUGACAAGUUGAGGGACCUUUGGUGUACUUUUUCAGGAUUUAUUCCCCUGGUAGUGGGCUUCCCCUUCAGGGCCGGGAAAUAGGUCGGGAUCCCGGCCUUUUCCCUGUCAGCCGAACGAAGUCUAGGGGGGGCAUGCGGCACUACACGACACAGCGGGGUUGGAGCCUCGAUUGGAGGCGAAUCGGGUGGCGGGACGAAUCAAGGUGUGGUGCUUGGGUCUUGAGGAGCGUAAGUGAAGAUCGGGCUAGUGCCGCCGGAACACGUCUUUAUGGUGGGAAAAAUGAUGACGCGGGAAAAUUUUGAGGAAGGGAUGGCUGGGCUACUUUCCAGACAACUGCGUGGAAGAUAAGGCGCACGACGCAAAGAAGAGUUCGGCAGGAUUAUUUUCACCCAGAAGGAAUGGGCAUCGCACCUUUCCUCUACAAGUUGAGAGCAAUAUAUGCGGGGUUAGGCACACCAUACUUUUAUUAGGAGUGACUUAGGUUUACUGUUAGAACAAUUUAUUUCUGCAAAACCCCUUUUGUUAUCAGGAAGAGUAUGAGGUGACUGUUGGUCAUACUCUUAGGUUGAUCAACAUAUGGUAGAGAAAUACUAUUUGGGAAAUCUAACAACCGACACGAAAAACCAAACCCUUACAACUGACACGAAACUGUCACGCCCAGAAAUUCCCGAAUAGAAUUCCAAGCAGAAUGUGCAUUAAAAUCCCCGUCCAGGACCAGCCGGGGUACACAAACGACAAUGUUGACAUACAGAUCCACGUCUUACAAACAUUGUAAAAUCUUACAGAAAUGCAGCGGAAAACAAAAGAUAACUGGAGCUAAGCCUUGACUUGAACGGCAGCGGGAACACCACUCCACAGGCAUCCUCGACGGCACGGACGAAGCCUACUCCUCGGAGAACCCGCCAUCGGACACAUACUCGAGCUCUGAGGUUGGGGGGAAAAGUAGAGCAAGACUGAGUACUACCCACUGUACUCAGCAAGUCAUACCGGAAUAGGGGUAUGAUGCAUGGAUUUAACAAGGGAUAGCUAAGCAGGUUCAUUUGCAUAAAUACUGGCAUUUAUAAACAGGAAUUUAAUGCGAAAACAGUUGUAAAAAUUAAACAGUAUUAAACAUCCGCUGUCCAACGCUAACCCACGUUGCGACAGGCCCAACCAUCCACCUAAACUAUCCAAAUUCAACAGAUUACACUAGGGUGAGACUAAGCUUUAUUACAAAGGAAUUAAAACUGUAAUUGUUCUGAUCUGAAUUAAAACACUUAAAAAGGCAAGCAAAAAUCCUUAUUAAGACAGCCAUAUCAUAGGCACAUGAUAUCGACCGCCGACUGACCCCCAAACAAGCAACCUACACACACAAACUAACAAACAAAAACUAGACAGUCGAUGAACUAGUGGAAAAACGAGCCUAAUGCUCGGAACGGCUCCUGCGGUCGGUGGAGUCGAAGGCGUCCUCCUGCUCGUCACCCGGUCCCUCUGAGCGACUCCUGGAGCCUGACGGAUCGGUCUCGCCGCUGCCGCUGGGAGUAGCAGACAGCCAACCUCCGGUACCACUGGCUGAACCUCUGGCGGCUGAUGCUGGAGCGAAGGAGAGAGUGAACGCGGGAGCUGGAGCUGGAGCUGCAGGAACUGCGGGCGGAACUGGAGCUGCUGCGGGAGCUGCUGGUGGAGGUGGGUUCCUGGGCGCAAGCUGGAUGCGCACAGGUGCAGUCGUCCUCUUACGGGGCGUAGUGCGGAUCCGGACUCCUCCUGGCGCUGGAAGGCCCUUCAACUGAGCAUUCUCCUUCUUCAGGCGCGCUACCUCGUCCUUCAGAGCGACGAUCCUCAUGAGCUUCCCAUCGUUCAAGGCCUUGGUCGCCUUGUGCAGGUCCGAGUGCAUCCUAUCCAAUCCCCUCAUCACAGCACACAUGUGACCGAAGGUGGUGUCGUUCUCGCCAGCUGUCGGACGGAAGGAGCUGACGCC
rnacentral:lncRNA from 1 species